AAGGCAUCCACCUGACUAAUUGUCUUUUUUUUUUUUUUUUUUAAGACAGAGACUCAUUAAGUUAACUAGGUUGACCCAAAAUUGCUGAGGCAAGUAGUCUUGCGUCAGCCUCCCAAGGGCUGUGAUUACAGGCACACAUCACCAUGUCUAACUAAAUCAGUCUUCACUACUCAUGUGUGUAACAUAUGUACUUUGCUAGAACCCAAGACACAUUCUUUUGGAACAAGAGAAAAUGAAAAGAUACCUUGAUAGAGUACUUGUAAAAAGCCCUGGGGUUUUAUGCCUAGCACCAUAAAAGCCAACCUAGCAGCUCAUUCUUACAAUCCUAGCACUUGGGAGGUGAAGGUAAGAUCAGAUAUUCAAGGACAUUCCUUACAACUCAGCAAGUUCAAGCCAGCCUGGGAUACAUGAAGUGUUUGGAUGGAUAGAUAGAUAGAUAGAUAGAUAGAUAGAUAGAUAGAUAGAUAGAUAGAUAGAUAAGAUUAUAUAGAUAAAAGGAAAGAAAAUGAAAGGAAAAAGCAAAUAAAAACCAUUAACAUGGAUACUCAGAGUCUCAUGAUAACAUAAACAAUAUGCAUCAUUUCCUGAAAUUAAGAUACUGAAGCAUGGAAAUAGUCUUAAAGAAUCUCAAGGAAAGAAAUACUUAGAAAGAAGGACCCGAGGAAAUACAGGGCCACAGCAGCCCUGUGUGAGGCAGAGGGCUGCGCUCUCUCUCACAGCUGUCUCUGUGCUGAGGACUGAAGCUGGGGCCUUGUGAACUCUAGGCAAGUGACUUCCCCAGGCCUUUUUUCCCCUACAGGGUCUCACUAAGUAGCUCAGGCUGGCCUUGAACUUUCACCAUCUUGGUCUCAGCCUUCUGAGAAGCUGGGCUCCCAGGCCUGCACCCAGAUCCGCCUUCACUGUGACUUAGAGAAGAAGCAAACCACUUGAGACAGGUGUCAAAAAUCGAGCUACUACAUGGCACUCUUCAUGGCAGAUAGUUUAGGAAAUAACUCAUGGUUUAUUUUUUUCUCUACAAUUUGUUAAAGGGAAAAAGAAAAAGGAAAAAGAUCUAAAUAUACCCUCUUCAAGAACUCAAAAUAAUUUUAUUUAGCAGUAGUGUAGGCCUUUCUCACACAAGAAUGAGCAUACUGAUUACAAUUAUUCCAUCACAUAAUCUGCCCUUAGCAUAUGUCUAGUUUCUCUAGAACGUGUUUGUCUCCAAGUCCAAGGCAGUGCAAAAAGCACACUAGACGGCCCACCAGACAGAACACGGACACAUGAGCGGGGUCCCCGGAGCUCACCUGAAGGGCAGUUAGUUGUAAACUACCUGAUAUGUAUGUCAGGAAGUGAAAGCUAGCCCUUUGCUCGAUCACCAAGCAUUCUCAGCCAUUCAACCAUCUCCACAUGCCCAUGUUUCCAGUUUUUAAAACUUGGUGGAGCAUGAGGCAUGUACCUUUAAUCCCAGCACUCGGGAGGCAGAGGCAAGAUCUCGGUAAGUUCCAAGGCCAGCCUGGUCUACAUAGUUGAGUUUCCAAGUCAGUCAGGGCUACAUAGUGAGACCCUGACCAAAAAAACAAAACAAAACAAAACGUUAAUGGUAAAAAUCAAACCUAAGUAAAGAACAUUGUUAUUCCCACUCUACACGCUGCUACACACACACACACACACACACACACACACACACACACACUAGAGUCAGCCUACUAAGGUGCUAAUUGAGGUGGUUCCUAGGUUCCUGGUCAUAACUUUGGUUGUAACCAAGGGAGAGACAAUAGGACCACAGUACUUUCAUCAAAGCCAAAGGCAAAAAGAGCAUGAUUGAAAAAGUUCAAGAGAUUCUAAGUUCUUAUAAAAUGCUCGAAAGUAGCCUCAUGCCAUUUAACAGGCAAGGACGACUGCCAAGGAAACCUACUGAGUAAGUCUGCCUUAACACAUUAACAGUAGGCCUUGCUUUCAAGCAGCUGACAUUAACAAUAAAAACCAACCACAGAGAUAGCAAAGCAAAACAACAUUAAGGGCCACAUGACUCAUGGGGAAAAUUAGGAUAUUUGAGUUCGAAACAGAGAGUCAUCACCAAGGACCAGAAUAAGUCUAGAAGUUCACUAAAGAUGGGCAGCAACUUAAGCAGGCUGUUAGGGAAGGGGGUGCAGCACUCCACCCACACACACAGUCCUGUCCUCCCUGCCUGUCUCUGCUCACAGGCUGCUGGUAAAGGAUGUGAACCUGACUCCUUCCAUCAGCAUUAAGCAAUAAAUGUGAAUAAGAUGAAAACUACAGAGAAAUCCUGGGUUCCUACCCUUCCAAACAGAAGGAAAAGAAGCAUCAAGAUGUAAACCAGGCAGAGAAGCCCUCAGUGCUGCUAGGGCCAGCAGUAAACAGAAUGUCUAGUGCAAGUCCUAGUUACACAAAACAUCUACUGUGCAAGAGGGGUGAGUGCCCUAGAUGAAGAGACAUCUUCCAAGGCAACAACUAACAAAAAAAAGAUGACAAUCUAGUACACAUUGUGCACACACAUACACACACAAACAUACAAGCACACUUAAAAAUAAUAAAAAUCAACAUUUUAAAAUAUUGUUAAAUAGAAGGUUAGGAAAAUAAAUCAUAUUUUAUAUGAUUUUUAUGAAUAUAGCUAUAUAUUAGCUAACUAAAACUGAAUGUCAAAUUUCAAAGGGUGUAUUUUGAAAGAGUAAUUCUACAUUAAGUACAUUCUAUCGUAAUAAGGAACAUCUGUUGAAUUCUUUUUUUUUUGUUUGUUUGGUUUUUUUGUUUUUGUUUUUUUCGAGACAGGGUUUCUCUGUGUAGCCCUGGCUGUCCUGGAACUCUUAAUAUACUGUAGACACCCGACUACAUGUUCUUCAUGAUUACCUGGUUCACAAGGACACUAAAGAAGUGAGUAGCUGCUGUUACUUUACAGAAGAGUAGUUUGGAGCUGUGCCUAGCACUCAGUAAGCAGAAAUGCAAGCGAGUAACAUUACACUGUGUGAGGCAAUAGUUAAGCUAGGAGUUGGGUAUCACACAGCAGGGUCCCACCUCUCCUCUGAAUCACUGACUGUAUAAAUAACCAUAAACCCAUCCGUAACACGGCAGUGUCCACAGACAAGGUGACAGAAGGUAGUCAAAAAGGAAAUGCUGACUUCUGGGUGAAGAGACCAAGACAGGUUUCCUAGGGAAGGUCUACAUGAAUGAGCUAGACCUCACACAGAGGUGGGGAGCUAAGUACAGAGUAGUAACCUUAGCUGAGGGCAGAGCUAGCAUGGACGACUGGCAGUGAAUGAGCCUAAACACUGCAGGGGGCGCCGAGGAGCAUGGGCUGCUCUGUGGAGAACUCAGGUGUGGCUCCCAGCACCUACAUGGCAGCUCACAGCCACCUGCGACUCCAUUUCCUGGGGAUCCAGUGCUCUCUCUUGGUCUCCCUGAGAAUGCACACAUAUGGUGCACACAAGACAAGCAGGGGAACACAUACACAAAUAAAAAUAGAUUAAAAGUAAUAACAAUGUAGGCUUGGAGCCAUAUGUUAAGAAAUCUGAAUAUUCAAAUCAGAAGUUUGGAUUUUAAUGUCAUAAUCCUACUUCACAAGCUGACCUUGGAUUCCUGCCUAAACCUGCCAAGUGCUGGGAUUACAGGUGUGUGCUACCACACCCAGUCCACUCUGUUUUCCUCUUUCUUAUGGUUUCUCUGUAAAGUCUACUUAACGCACAUCAACAUGAUGCUUUGAUACACAGUAGAUAGUAGCUGCCAUCUCACAAUCACCCUCCCCUUUCAGCAAAAACACCCAUGGAAACCGCUAAACAAAAUACAUCAUUAAUUAUAAUCUUCAUGUUGUAUACCAGGUCCCUCCAUGUAUAUUUUAAAAUCUAGUUUAGUAUGAACAGUUCCUAAGUGAACUACACAGAAACUAGAAAAACCGAAAAUCCCCCACCAUGAGAGCAGCAGAAAGAAAAGACAACAUCAAACAGGCAUUGCCUGCUUCUCACACAUGCCAGCAAUCCCAGCACUUCGGAGCCCAGGCACAGGCUGCCAGACCAACCUGUCCUACAGAGCGAGCCCUGGAUCAUGCUCUGACUUCUCAGGCUAUGCUCUAAAGGUACAAUUAAUUAAGUUCUGGUUUUCUCGUCGAAAGUAACCCAAGGGGUUCUCAAAGUAUUCGCCUUUGCUUACUCUCACCCUACUUUUUUUUCCAUCUUUCUCCUUCCAAUUUACCGUCUCCCAUUCUCUAUCACUCCUUCCAUGAGCCACCCUCUCAUUAAGGGCCCACUUUUGUCCGGAGCAUACACAUCUAUGUAUCUUUAAUUUAUGAAUCUUUAAUUCUCCUAGAGGUUUUUUGCUAUUAUCUUGGGCCUGUGACCUGCCCUCCUGAGUUUCAAACAGCCCUGCAGGGAUAACACAGGCAUACACACUCGAGUCCUCCAUGUGCAAAGCCUGCCCACGGUGCCCACCCAAGCACCCUUUCCCACUAAGCCUAGUACUCAACAGCCACUCCCACCUCCUAAGGCUAACACCCAUUUACAGACUGGUCCUGGAUGUUCCCAUCUGUGCUCCUGUGACUCUACCGGUUGAUAGAUGACAUACACCAAUCAGCUCAUCCAGCAGGUUAGGAAGGGAGCAGUUAAGAGAGCAGAGAGGUGUCUCACACACAGCCCAUCUAAGUGCGUCCAGCUUUAACUGUCAGUACGUGUACGAGAAGUUGAUACACAGCACAAGCCUUUGCCCAAUCUCAGUACCAAGAAUCCAGGCUGCAUUAACACUCAUGAAUGAAGUUAAUGGACUUAAAAUUCACAUCACCUUUAAAAAGCUUUACCUCCAGGACUCUCUCCUCAUUUCUGACUGUCUAAAUGCUUUCAAAAAGCAUUUUAGGCUCAACCUCAACUCAUGUGAAUGACGGCCCUAAUUAAGGAAAGCCAGGUGGCUAGAAUGCUGAGAGAUGAAGCCCUGGCUUAAAAUAAUUAAUCUCUCUCUGCUCAGCUAAGAUGUGAAGUGCAGCACCAAGAAGAAAAACAGAAGACUCAGAAAUGACGGCAUAUAACUAAGCUAAUUAAGAUAAAUUCUUUAAAUUGUUUACUUAGUAGCCGCCAAAUUCUAUAAGGAAAAUAAGUGCUGCUGUAAUUAUGCAGCUUCGGAUCUCAUUAGCUACCACAGUGGAAGAUUAUGUAUUGUGCAAUAAUUAUAUUUGUUGAGCCAAUAAAAUCAAAAGCUACUGUCAGAGAGCUGUGUUUGUUGCCCCUUACAACAAUAAAUCUUUUCCCUCUUUCAAAACUACACCAGACCCAGAAGAGUUCCUAAAACCAUCUCCAUAUUCAAAUUAUAAACUAUUUACUUGAUCGGUUUCUUCAACCUAUGGAGAAAUAGUUUCUGAUUCUGCACAGGUCUUUCUCACCACCUCCCUAACCAGUUAGGAUGCCACUCCAGAGAGGAAGGACUGGGAAGCUCCAGUUCUGAGAGGAAAACGACGGGCAACUGCCCAUUUCUAACCAGCAGCUCUCCUUCUCCGUCUCAUCCUCAUAGUCUCCAGUCGUCGGAUAAAUCAGGCACCAAUGCCAUAUAAAGUUAAGGCUGGUUAGUCCUCAACUGUCUCUCCACUUAGGGAAUUUUAAGCAGAAUUUUCAAAAAUACUGAAAUCCAAUGCACGGUGUGCUGGGGCUUGCUUUUAAUCCCAGCACUUGGGAGGCACAAGCAGGAGACUGGCUAGUCAAACACAGGGAGUUAGUUGCAGAGAAGACGCUCUCCAGAUCCAAUGUCUAUUCUCCUGAAGUCAAGCAUACCCUAGAAUCCUACUACCUUUGCUUUCCAUCAGCCAACGCAAUCCCAUGUGAAACAAAAGCCAAUACAAACAGUGUUUUCUUCCCCUUCCUGCCUGGCACACAAGUUUUAAUUAUCAUUUAAUUGACUUGAAGGUUACUUUCAUAGUACAAGACUUCUAGCUCAGUAAAAUACUUAAGUCUAAGAAGGAAAGCAAGCUCAGGAAAUGUCAAUUACUGGGAGGGACAAGAAGCCACAGGUCCUGAAGGUAGUUCUUAGCAAUGUUGUCGUCAAAGGCAAACAACCAUAAAACAACAACCACAACAAAUGCCUAAGAAACUAUUGUAGUUUGGGGAUGCUUUCUUUGCUAAUUUGUUUGCUUUGUUUUGUUUUGAGACAAGCUCUAUUGUAGCUCAGCUGGCCUCUAUGCGGCUAAGGAAGACUUUGAACAAGUCUUUGAACAAGCUGUACCUCUGCUUUAUAAAUCUGGGGAGCAGGAAUGUGAUGGAGAAAACUAUCAAACUUAGUGUUUAUAAAAGUUCAUCUCAGUAAGAGCAACAGGCCUGCCCACUCUGGUUCUAUCUAUUCACAGCAAAGUACGGUAUCUCUAUUGUCAAGUCCUGCAUAGGCAAGAUUUGAGUGCCAGUGACUAAACCUUAAUUAUGCCUCAUUCAGACAAGCCAAGACAUGCUACUAAACAAGGAAAGUGCUCACUGGAGGGGGAGUGAUGCAGAACACAACGAAGUCAACCAGGAAAGGCUUGGCCAGACAGUGGGCUUGAUCCCAGCACUCACGAGGCAGAGGCAGGUGGAUCUCUUGUGACUUUGAGGCCAGCCAACCGUGAAUCCCAGGACAUCUGGGCUACAUAGAAAAAAAAUUGUUUUCAAAAGAAAGCUGAUCAGUUUAAAGAUAAAUCUCUUCACACUCUUCAUACUGCACAAACAAACAAAAACUUAGGAUCUUGGUAGACCAGGCGCACAAGGCCCAAAGCUAGGUCCAACUCCCAAUACACACCCCCAAAAAUGUUACUGCCAAUAUAAGUUUUGGGGCCAGCAAGAUGGCUCAGUGGGAAAGGGUGCUUGCAACCAAGCCUAGUGACCUGGCUUUGAGUCCUGGAGCCCAUAUGAUGGCAGGAAAGAACAGACUACUAGACAUUGUCCUAUGAUCUCCACACAUGCACUAUGACACAUGAACACCCACACAUAUGUGCAUAUACAUAUACACAAAACAAAUAUGUAUGCUUAUAUUAAUACCUAAAGAAGGUAAAAAUGAAUGAUACAACAACACGUUUUAAAUGUUAUAAUAAAACCUCUUCUAUUAUACACUAAAUAAAACAAUGUUUUAAAGAAGGCAAGUAGCGAGAUGCGGUGUUGCACUCAAGCAGAGGCAGGUGAAGGCCUCUCUGAGUUGAAGGCUUAUUCUACCUAGCGAGUUCCAGGCCAACUAGGGCUACAGUAGUCACCAAACACAGAAACAAACACACACACACACACACACACACACACACACACACACACACACACACACACGGAGAGGGAGAGGGGGGAGAAUUGAGAAGAGGGGGGGAGGAGACAGGGGAGAGGGAGAGGGAGGGGGAGAGGGAGGGGGAGAGAGAAAGACCUGUUAGAGUAAUAAAUAAUACUGUUAACUGCAAAUCAGCCACAGGAGUCAACUCAGCUACCUUUUCUUGUUCUCAAACAAUUGAGACAGUGUUUGUUAAGCCUAGCAGAGGAGUCUGGCUCUAAAGGUGACAGCUGGCUACGUGAGUUGGCCUCAUGUGGACUCGGCCCACUUCACUCUUCUGAUGGUUCAGGAGCAGAAGCAGAGCUUCUAUCUAAGGACAGUUUGGAAAAGACUGUCAAUCUACAUUUGCUUCAGGCGCGGGGUGGGGUGGGGUUACCGUCUGUUCAGCAGCCAAGGGGCAUGGGAGGAGAGUGACAUGUGGCAACACCCUUUCUGGCCUCCAGUCCACAUGGGUUUGUGGUUACUCUUGUACUACAAGAGUAUCGCUUUCAGGGCUAGAGCCUGCUAAGCCCCUAGGAAAGCCAGGCUGGGGACCUGGGCUGGGAGUUUCCCUUGAGUUCCUCCAAGGCCCAGCCCAAGGCAAGAGCGGCUGGCAACCGCUGAGAGUUCCCACCUCUGCCCUAUAAAGACCACAGCUGGGAGCUAGCUGACCAGAAGCCAUUAUAAUCUCCUACUAGAACCUCAAAGACGGCUUUCACUGGAGGCUCUGGUGUGGAGUUAAAAAUCAGAAUUCUUGGUCACUAAGCAUGUUGUAAAAGUUGUCUAAUUCUCCAAACAAUAAAUGAAAUUUCCCUCUACACUGCCUACCUACAGAGUGGGAGACUGGCUAUGUAGCUUGACCACUCCAGGUUUCCUGAGAAAUUCUGAGUAUUAAACUAAUCUAUACAGGCUGCCUUAAGCAGUGUGCCCAUGACUCUGGUAUCUGAUUCCUAAAGUUGACAUCAGGUCAUCCUGUGUAAACAUACACACACCAAACUGAUCAAACUGGAUUCCAAAUCUCAGAGGUUUAAAACAAACCUGCCUGACAUACUGGUGUACACCUUUAAUGCCAGCACUCAGAAGGCAGAGGUAGACAGACCUCACUGAAGUUUCAGGCCAGCCUACUAGUCUACAUAAUGAGUUCCAGGACAGCCAGGACUAGAGAGAGAUCCUGUCUUAUUCUUUCUUUCUAAUAUAAGGAAACUAGAUUGGAAAGUGGUAAGUGACUGGGAAGGGUCAUACAGCAGGAUAGGAGCAAGAGCUGAGAAGCAGGGGUCGUGACAGGCUCUGUUCAGCCCCAGACAAGGAGAGCGCCCUACUAGUCACCAGCACUUUCCCUCCAUCUGCCUAUCCUUUAGAACACACAGCUCCUCUCUGUUCUUCACAAUAGUCUGUGUGGUAACAGGCACUAAGUCAUAGUGAAGGGUCAUUUACCAAGCAUGAUACAACACUGCGGCAGAAUGCCCAUGGGAAGCAAGCAGCAAGACAGUGUGAGAAAAUAAAGGCUUUAUUGGGGCCACAUGAUGUGUGUCUCACUUCCCCACUGGCCGCAGGAGCUACCUUAGGGCAGAAAUUCUUCACCCUAAAUCAAGUGUGGUGGUGCCAUUAAUAUUUGGGGUUAAUAUCUAUAGUUAUUCUCCAAGACCUUAAAUUAGUACAAAAGACAUACAUUCAUUUCUAUAUCAAAGUGUGUACAAUUUAAAAUUAACAUCAACCCCAGCAUGGAAGCACUCACUGUGGUAAUCCCAGCACUGGAGAAGCUGAGGAAAGAGGAUCAUUCAGUCCAGAGCCAGCCUGAGCUACUAAACAACAUGCUUCAGAAAUCAAAAACAAAAUAAGCUGGGCGUAGUAAUACUGAUCUGUAAUCCCAGCAUUCAGGAGCAAAGACAGAAGGGUAAGACUUACACAAAAAGGAGGGAGGAGGAGGGAAAGAAGGAGGGAGGAGGAGGGAAAGGAGGAGUGAGGAGGAGGAAUUGUGGACCAUCCUCCAUUAUACAGGAGAUUUCUUUAUUUAAAAGUAACAUAAAUCUAAAACAAAGCUAUCACUAAUUUUAAUUAAAUAAUAUCAGCAAAAAUUCAAUGAAAUCCGAACCCUUGGACAUUUGACACCCAUAACCCUCUGGUAGUCACCCUCUCCCCAUACGCUUUAUAACACCAUAGAGCUCAUCCAAGUUAACGUUUGCUUGCUAUGAAAAAACAAUGGCCAAAAGCAGCCUGGGGAGAAAAUGGUUCAUUCAUCUUACACUUCCAGGUAAAAGUCCAUCACUGAGGGACAGAGCCAGAGCUCAAGGCAGGCACUAAAACAAAGGCCGUGGAGAAAAUGGAAAGCUUACUGACUUGCUCUCUGGCUUAACUCAACUAUCAAACCCAGAGCCUCAGAACCAUACUAGGCAAGGACUCUACCAGCACCAGCUAUCUCUGUCUCUCUGUCUGUCUCUGUCUAUCUCUCACAGCCCAGGACCACCUGACCAGGAGAAAGGCCCUCCCAUACCAGCCAGCAAUCUACUGGAAGGAAGCAGCGCCUCAGUUGAGCCUCUUUCUUCUCGGGUCUGUAUGGGUUUAUGGCAAGUUGUCAAAACCAUGAGCAUGUUUAUCACUAUCUUUUUCCUAGAAAUUGUAUUAUUUCAUUAUAUAUAUUUCAAAGUAUUGAGUUUUAGGGCCUAGUGAUACAGCUUGGUUGACUGACUUCCCAGCACCUCAAGAACAAGCAAAGUACUUAAAAUUUAAAUAAAUUUCAACUUUAAUGUAAUGAAACCAAACUUUUUAUUUAAACUAUUUCUUUUAAUCUUAAUUACUGUCACUGCUAUUAACAUUAUACACUUUUAAAGGUCAAUGUAAAUGUAUUACACAUUUUGACAAUUAAAAACACAGUGAACUGCCUUCAAAAGGUUGUCUGGGUGUGGUGGUACAAACUUGAGAUCCCAGCACUCAGGAGGCUUGUGUUCCAAGAACCUGAAAUUAAGGUCGGUCUCCGCUACAGAAUGAAAUCAGGCCAGACUGAGCUACCAAGUGAAGGUGGGCUGCAGGGUGACACAGGCCUUAGGAGCACCUAGCACUCUUGCAGAGAUCUGGGGUUCGGUUCCCAGCACCGACAUAGUUCAACAUCAUCUGUAUCUCUAGUUCCAAGGGACCUGGCACCAUCUUCUGACUUUCAGACACACAUGUACAUAUACACAUGGAGGCAAAACACUCAUGGGCAUAAAAUACAAUAUUUUUUAAAUUGCUUAUUUUUUGAAAGGCAAAAACUUAAAAGUCAAUAAAAUAUUUAACUCUAUAAAUCAAAAGCCUGCUAAAAGUCUCUGUAAGAUAUCAUUGGACAACAUAUUUGUCCAAUGUCUACUUUUUUAAAAAAGACCUCUGAGAACUAUGGCCGGGGCCUUUGGCCUACUCACUUGCAGUGUCAGAACCUGCUUCCUCUAGAAUACUUUGUCAUUCACUCUCCAGAGUUUUGCCUGGAAUAGGGAAUGUUUCUUAGAAAUUUCAACAACUCACACUAAGAUUUACUGACAGUUGAUUCCACCGGCUGCCCUACUACCUUCUUAAGAAGAGUAAGUACAGAAGGUGUGUGAUAUGUAAAAAAGGCCUUCUCCAAAGCUGGUUUACCCCACACGCAAGGCAGACACACACACAUUUACUCCAUCUUUAUUCAUCCUCUACCUUAACUCUGCCCAAUGCGGUUACAGGCCCUGGACUAUCACCAGCCUUAAAUCAGACUGAGUCACUCUCUGCCGUGGCUACUCCUUCCCUUACUUGGACUCAGAGCACUGGAAGCUGUCACUCACAGUCCCUCAUGCCAAGAGAACAGGUGUGAAUGUGUCACCACUUAAUACAAGGUGACUGACUGUGUUAGAACCCAAGGCCUCAAGGGUGCGUGCUUGGCACGUGCUCCACCACUGGGCUAUAUCUCUGCUCCUAAAUAUGCUUAGGUGGAAUCUACAUACUAUACACUGGUUCUUUAGAUGUGUUAUUUGCCUUAAAAGACGACUCAGAGUUAUACAACCCUCACCGCCAUCCUAUUGCAGAGCGAUCCUGCCUAUGCCCACUGCCCAUCGCUCCCAUUCCCACUUCUGUGCAAGGUGCUGGGGUUUGUGACUAUCUACAGAUUUGCCUGUUUGGGGCAUGUCAUUCCGAUGGAACCAUACACUGUUGCCGUCUGUGUCUCGAUUCCAAUACUAAUGUUUUCAGGUGGUGUGGCAGCGCCAAUAGCCCACUCCUUUUUAUGGCUAAACAAUACUCCAUUCUGUAGAUGUCACAUUUUCCUUAUUCAUAAGCUGUGAAACAUGAGGUUUUUUUCCCAUCCUUUGGUUACUGUAAAUAACAGUUAUAAACAUUUAUGUAGGAGGUCAGGAGAGAAUGUUUGCAUGAUAAUCUGAGUUCAAACCCCAGAAGCCAUGAACAAGCUGGGUAGGUACAAGUAUUGACAGCCCUAGUAGGCUCCUGCAGUGAGAUAGCAGGCAGAAAGAGGGUUCCUGGAAGCUCUCAGGCCGACUAGACUUGUCUAUUUGGAAAAAAAGAAAAAGAAAAGAAAGAAAAGAGACUGUAUCAAACAAGCUAAAAGACAAGGACCCGCUCUGGCUUGUCCUCUAACAUUCACACGCACACUAGAAUUUAUGACCCAGUAACAACUAUGCAUUUCCUGAAGGAGCUGCUAAUUAUCUACCACCAGCACAAUAUACAGAAGAAUAUAUUUUAUCUUCUAUAUCCUCCUUAUAAGACCUGACUCCAACUCCAAAACAACAACAACAACAACCCAACCUCAAAGGGAUAGGCACAUGGGUCAGUAGAGAGUACCUGCUAGGAUACAGGUCCUAGCUCGAUCUCCAGCGCUGAAACAACAACAAAAACAUUUUGCCUUUUCCUUCAGCCUCCCGUACAUAUUCUCCUUUUUCUUGUUUUUAGGGAUGCUGGGGACCAAAUCCAAGACCUCAACAUGCUGAAUGAGAAGUCUACCACCAAGCUACAUCCACAGGCCAUAAGCAGGCCAAGCAGUCGUCCUGAAGAUGGGGUAAUAUGGCCGGAGACUAAGCCCAGGAACAACACCGACAUACUUACUAACCUGAAGUACCGGACGAGGCUGAGUCCUUCGGCUAUGACGGGCCACUCUGCUUCCUCCAGGCCUAGAGCACAUGCGGAGGCAGGCUACACUCUGGUUGGCUGCUUCUCUGUUGGCCUUGCAGCUAAUCUCAAAAGCCUUACCCUCAACAUCUGCCCUGUCCUCCAGCAUCCAGACACCCAUCUUUCAUCACAGACCUCCACUGCAGAGGACAGCUGGCUUGCCCAGUGGGGAACUUGUACAAGGAACGCCGUGGCUUGAAUUAGACCUUCCUUUCCAGAGUAAAACCGUACUUUCCAACAUUAGUGUCCGCGCCUCACUAGGAGGUGCCGGGUCUAUCAGGCCCCAGUGAAGCUUGUUCCUGUUACUCUGUGAGCACUGUGACUGUCUUUCCAUGAACAUUGUGUAAAAUGGCACUUCGGCUAUCUCCAUAUCCCUACCAUAUGCAACACUCUGAAUGUCACCCAAAAAUUCAGGUCCCAUCCUGAUAAGAGAUGGGGCCUUUAAAAUGGAAUAAGGAGCCUGAUGACCCAUAUUCAAUCCCUGGGACCCCCAAGGCGGAAGGAGGGAACCAAGACUGUAAGUUGUGCUCUGAUCCCACAGGCACAAGACAAAAAUCCCAUGCACAAUCAAUCAACUCAUCAGUGUAAUAAAAAAAAUUAAUGAAGCCAGGCAUAGUGACCAUGUCUUUAAUCCCAACAUUAAGGAGAACAAGGCAGGCUGAUCUCUGGAGUUCAAGGCCAGUCUGGCCUACCUAUAUCUAGUUCCAGGUGUAUCAGGGCUACCUUGCCAAAACCAAAACCAAACCACCACUACCACCACCAUCAUUGUCCUGAUCCCAAUUCCCUUGAUGUGUCAUCUAGCAAAAUGACAAAGUAUCAUGCCUUAAUUUUUUAAUUAAAAAUAGAAACUUGGCUUGGGAGCAACUCAGUGACAGACAGUAUUUUCCUAGAAAGCACAAGAUGUCAUGUUAGAUACCUGGCAACACACACAUACACACACACACGAGGGGGGGGACAGAGAGAGAGAGAGACAGAGGGACAGAGAGACAGAGGGACAGAGAGACAGAGGGACAGAAAAACAGAGAGAGACAGAGGGACAGAGAGACAGAGGGACAGAGAGAUCAGAAGGGUAUGUAUGUUAUGUGCACCCCCCUUUGUGUAUUUUAAGUGUCCACUUAAGAUUUUUGACAUUUAGCUGCCCAAAGUUGAUACCUCCAGCAAAGUGAAAGAUGAGAGAAAGGAACCAGAGUGCAUAUACUAAUUGUUCUUACUUCCACAGUACAAACAGCACACUUAAUAGGCAGAGGGGCUAUAUUUUAAAAUACACAAGGGAUUUCCACCCAGGGGACUUGGAAGCAGAAGAAAGGCCAACAGGAAAGUCACACUGAAAGCCCCAAGGAAGAAGAGGGGGGAGGGGCAUGAUUUAUUCAGUAACAAGAACCAACAACCUGCCCAGGCACUGGAGAGUCAAAAUACUCAGACCUCAAGGGCUUAAAGUCUCCCCAGGAGGGUGGACAGUAGGAACCACAGGAGCAGAUGACAGCAGCAAUCACCAUUACAGUACAGAGAGCACAGGCUUGUCUGGGUUCAAAUCCCAACUCUGCUACCAAACAGCUAUGUGACAGGACAAGAGACUUCACAGUCUUUUUUCCAAUGACCUCAUCUAUAAAAUGAAUGCAUCGUAAGUCUCACUGUUUCUUCACUGACACUAAAUCAUUCAGUAGCUAAGUUGCUCUGUAGAAGUACUCAGCCCAAUUGCCCCCUGGCAGCAGUAACACCCACAUGUCUGCUUCGACACUCUAGGACUCUAGGUCGGUGGGUCACCUCGCUAUGCUUUCAAAGGAACGGACUCUAUCUUGAUGCAAAUGGGAGGUCAGGAAAACAGUAGCUGAGAAACUGACACCUACGUUCCAAACACAAAAUCAAAUACAAGGCAGGCAUACAGAGGAAGUGUGUCCAGCAGACAGAAUGUAUGCAAAGUCCUGGGCUAAAACUGAGCAUGUACAGAGACAAAGUUUGGAGCUGUGACGAAAGGAUGGACCAUCUAGAGACUGCCAUAUCCGGGGAUCCAUCCCAUAAUCAGCUUCCAAACGCUGACACCAUUGCAUACACUAGCAAGAUUUUGCUGAAAGGACCCAAAUAGAGCUGUCUCUUGUGAGACUAUGCCGGGGCCUAGCAAACACAGAAGUGGAUGCUCACAGUCAGCUAGUGGAUGGAUCACAGGGCCCCCAAUGGAGGAGCUAGAGAAAGUACCCAAGGAGCUAAAGGGACCUGCAACCCUAUAGGUGGAACAACAUUAUGAACUAACCAGUACCCUGGAGCUCUUGACUCUAGCUGCAUAUGUAUCAAAAGAUGGCCUAGUCGGCCAUCACUGGAAAGAGGCCCAUUGGACUUGCAAACUUUAUAUGCCCCAGUACAGGGGAAUGCCAGGGCCAAAAAGUGGGAGUAGGUGGGUAGGGGAGUGGGGGGGAGGGUAUGGGGGACUUUUGGGAUAGCAUUGGAAAUGUAAAUGAGGAAAAUACCUAAUAAAAAUAUAAAUUAAAAAAAAAAACUAAAACUAAACAUGGCACAGCAGGCACGCAGGACAGUCUAGGAAACCUGUGCUUCAGGUAUUACACAAGAAGUAAUACAGAACAAGAGUUGUUUUUCUGUCUUUCUUUUUAGGUCAUUCUGCUAAAAUGUGGAGCCAGCUGUGACCAAGGGAGAUGACACAAGCCUGAGGGAAGCCGGGAAAGAUUCAGAAAAAAAAAAAAAAAAACAGUCAUUGGAGGAGAGACAAGUGAAGCCAGCUACAGACAAAUGAGAAGACUUUCACAGAGGACAACAAGCACAGAUGUGGCAAGAGCUCAUGAAUUAGUAAUAGAACAAAUUAAUACGAUUAAAUCAUUUCUUUGGGCCUAGAACGGGGCCACAGAAAAGGACAACAUUGUUCACCCACAGCUGGAGAUCCGCAUGGCAUGAGAGAGGAACAAAGAUGCGGGAGCAGUGACUCACUGAGUGACCAACCAUGGUGUCCAUAUGCAGCAGAGUAGUGCCAGGAAGAAUGUCACCAACUGGAAGUCAGGCACAAUUCAAGCGACUGGUGGCUCCCGUGAACUAUGAGACUGUCUUAGCAAAUCGCAUAACUAAAAAGCCAGAAAACCACAUUGGGUACAACGUGCAGGUCUGUCUUUCUUAAAAAGAAUUGUGUGUGUAUGUGUGUGUAGAGGUCUGUGCACAUGUGAGUCCAGAAGCCCUGAGUUCAGAAGUGGGUGGGUGUCAGAUCCCCUGGAGCUACAGGUACAGGUGGUUGCACAUCAUCACAUGGGUGCCCCAAGUGCUUUUCUUUCUGGGGUGGAGUCUAGGAGUAAAUUACUGGGAAGAAGUCGGAAGACACGGAAGCAGCAUAUGGGCAUGACCUGAAACCUAUAACCCCGUAACCUAGAGGAAGACUAAGGGACCAAGUGCAGUUGGAGCUAUUGAGCUACAGAGACCCUGGCUCAAAAAAGUAAAGGGGAAAAUGAAAGAUCACAGCAGAAUGAGCUCAGGACGCUGGACAAACGAUGUUGAUGAAAACCAGAGACUCAGAGGUCAAGGGCGGAGGAGAAAAAUACUCACUAAGAUUGGCAGUUCACUUUCAUUCCAGUCUCCCCACCACCACCCCUUUCUUUUUGAGUCAGGAUCUCACUAUGUACCUCUGGCUGUCCUGGAACUCUCUAUGCAGACCAGGUAGGCUUUGAACUCAGAGAUGUGCCUGCCUCUGCCUCACAAGUGCUGAGACUAAAGGUGUAUGCCGCUACACCCAGCUUCAUUAUAUUCACCUAGGAGUGUUUAAAAGUGCAAAGAAUAAAACUAGAUGUGUUUGGGGCGGGGGAAAGUUUUCUUCUUUUUUUUUUUCUGACAAAUAAUGUUCAAGAACUUGCCGACCGCAGUCAGGUUUAAGUAAAGCAGAUACAAAGCCCAUUGGGGAAGGCCUUUCCCACUUUCCCUCUCUGGGCUUCAACUCCGGAACUACCGUCCCUAAACUCCAGAGGGUCUAUGUCACCUUACCCAGCUGAGAAGAGUCCUUACCUGGUGUCUUUUCCUGCCCCCGUGAUAAAACACCCUGAUAUGAGCAACGAAUGGGAGCAAGGGUUGUUUCUGGCUCGUGGCUCAGGCCACAGCCCAUCCGAGCAGGGAAGUGGAGGCAGCAGGAGCUUGAAGCGGUCAGCACUGCAUCCAGUGGAUGCUUCCUCCUGGUCAGCUCACUGUCUCCAUCUUCCACAGCCCAGGACCCCUUGCCAAGGAAAUAUUCCUACCCACACCAAGAUGGAUCUUUCAUGUCAAUUAACACAACCAAGAUAACCCCCCAGGGGCAGGCCCAGAGGCCCAUUUCCCAGGCGAAUGAGUCUACGUUCUGUCAAGUUUACAAUUAACACUAACCAUCGCACCUGAGGAUCAUUUACCACAACUAAAAAGCAAACACCACAUAUAAUGAUAAAAACUAAAGGACAGACAACAUACCCCAGGCCAGGAGAAAAGCUUUCCAUAUUACUUAUUUAAUGACAGACUAGUAUUCACAAAACUACAUAAAGACAUCUUAAAUGCAACAAUAAGAACAAAAAACUUAAUUUACAAAUGAGAGCAUAGAAUAGCUUAGCUAAUAAAGGCAUGGGUUUGGUAACCUGAAUUCAACUCCUGGAGCCCCAUGGUAAAGGAGAGACUGACUCCCACAGUUCUCUGACCUCCUCAGUUACCCUGGCACUCCAAUGGCCACUCGUGCCACACACAGAGGAGAAAGAGGGGAGGGAAGGAGAGAGGGGGCAGAGGGGAUAGUCGAGAAAAGGCCUAAAGAAAGCAUGGGUGGAAGACUCUCAGCUCUCAGAGGCUGAGGAAGAGCGGGACUGAGGCCAGCCUGAGUCUCAAAAACAAACAAAAAUGGGCAACAAAAGAUUUAAACAGCUACAUCAACAAACACUAAAUAAGUAUGGCAAAUAAGUUUAUAAAAGAUACUAACAUCGCCAGGCAGUGGUGAUGCGUGCCUUUAAUCCCAGAAGUCAGAGGCAGGGAGAUUUCUGGGAGUUUGACGACAGCCUGGUCUACAGAGCAAGUUCUAGGACAGCCAGGGCUACAGAGAGAAACCCUGUCUCGAAAAACAACAGAACAACAAAAAGCAACAGCACUUGUCAUUUAACUGCAGAUUAAAUGAUCACUACAUACUGGAGAAGAGCCGUGGGCAACAGGAAAUGCUGGUGAAGAUACAAGGAAGGAAGGCGGGCCCUGCCUAUGGGGAUGAGGGACCACAACCUUUCUUGACAGAACCCGAAACACACAACUAACCAUCCAUUUAUCACAGGGUCAGCAACUGUGACCUAAGUGUCUUUCCAAAGAAACUGAAAAGCUAUAUCCACACAAAAAUGGAUAUAAGUAUUUCCAGCCUUAUUCAUCAUUGAUAAAGCCCAGCAGCAACAUGAAGGCCUUUCAUCUGCAUGAGCAGAGGAGAAUACCGUGGGAGCUUCUACAGACUGCAACACACAUGACACAAAGGACCGACCAGUGAAGCCAACAGAAAACACGAGGAAACUUCAAUUAUCACCAACAGAAAGCCUCUCUGGAAAGGCUACGCUCUAGACGGCUCCAGUAUGACAUUCUGGCAAAGUCAAAGUCAAGGAAACAGUUAAGAGCAGCAUGGGAUGAGGAGGAAGAAGAAAUAAAUAAGUAAAACACAGGGCCUUGCUCAACAGUCAAACUGCAAUAGUACGGCACUGCAAUAGCAAGUGAGUGCGGGAGGAUUAAGCCGUCCACAGAGGCAUUAAAGUCAUUGCCCUCUGAGCACAGACGAGUAAACUGGCUUGCUGAGGCUCGCUCUUCUUGCUGUGUAUUGUAACACUAAACUCUGUAUCCCAAGGUCUAGUCGCCCCAAGAGCCAAGUGAAUUCUCAUGUACACUAGCCUUUGUUGUACAAACCUUGCUCCUAAAUUUAAAACUGCUGGAAGAAUAAAGAUGGCUACAGCCUGUAGCUGUGCAGAAGAGAGAUAGGCAGGGCUUCGGCUCCUGAGCUUGGAAUCUGAGGUAGAGGUCAUGAGGAGAAAAAAAAAAAAAAAAAGGCAUGAGGGCCAGCCUGCUGGAGGAGGAGCGGCCCAGGAAGGACAUGGCAAGGGAUAUCUCAGGAUUAUUGACAGAAGUAGACAAAAUAGCACCAAGCAUCCAGCUCUAGUGCUUUAAGGCUUAUCUUAAAUAUAAAGAGUUUGUGUCUUUUAUUUGGGAACAGAAAUCCCCAAAUAACAAAACCCACAACACUAGCUGCAAUCCUCCUGAUAGUGUAGUAGAGGCUAGGAGUACAGGAGCUCUUGGGCUCAGUGAGGCCCCUCUGCUAACUGCGUGUGCCUUUGGGGCACGGUAUAAAGUCUUGUAGCUUUCUACUUCCUCACUGACAACUGGGGAUUAACGUCAUGGAACUGUUAGGACAUCAAAAUGAGCUCUAACAUGUAAGUGUUGGAACAGGGUGACUGGGACAAAUUAAGUGUUCAGGGGAUGUCACCCUCCCUUACUCAAAGGUCUGUGAACCUACCAAUCGUUGCUGGAGGCACACCUACGCAUCUGGACUUCAGUAACAUUCCUGGGUGAUUUCCAUGAAUACUAACGUUCAGAAGGGCUUAACUGAAUAUUAUCGGGUAACUUUAACUGGUAUUAUGGGGUAACUUUUGUUCAACACUAACACUAUAGCUACUGCAGAGACCCAAGUUACUAUCUGCUGACAGUCACAGUCUACUCAGAAUACAUACUUUGUCACCUAUAAAGGUCAUGAAUUUACUAUACUCGGUAAAGCAUUAAAACAUGAAAUGUGGCCAGGCCUGGUGGUGCAUGCCUUUGCAGAGCAGCCUGGUCUACAAAGAGAGUUCCAAGACAGUAAGGACUACAUAGAAAAACUGUUUUAAAAAAAAAACAAAACAAAAAAAAACAGUGAAGGACAAACACAAGAAUAAGUGACAUAUGCCGUAUACAGCAAGCCCAUUUCCAGUAGGUGAAUAAAUGAUGAGUUAUUAGGGCAACUGUUAAUCAAUCCUUUGUAAGUCUGACUCUUAUAAAUGGAACACCAUUUCACAGGAAUUCCAAACUUAAACAUUCGGCAGUGUAUGCUGGAGUGUGGCUGUAAAUCCAGCUACUUAUAGGAUGGGGCAGGCAGAGGCAUGCAGACUGUUUGAGUCCAAGAACUACCCAGGCAGCACAGCAAAACUCUUACCUCUUUAGAUGAACAGUAGAGAGAGAAAGAGAGAGUGAGAGAGAGAGAGGACUAGCUAGAUGGAUAGACAGACAGCUAGAUAGAUAGACAGACAGGGAAGGUGUAGUACCUGUAAUAUCUGUACAUGUAUGGGUGAGGCAGGAGGAUCACAGUGUAUGGCCAACCUGAGCAGUACAGCAGAUCUGUCAUGAGAGGAACAAAGGAAGGAAGGGAUGGCUUCAACAGGCUAGCAGAAAGGAAGCUGGAAGGGUGGUUCAGUGGUUUAAAGAACUUGUUGGUCUUUGUUUGUUUUCCGAGACAGGGUUUCUCUGUGUAGCCCUGCCUGAUCUGGAACUCACUCUGUAGACCAGGCUGGCCUUGAACUCGGAAAUCCGCCUGCCUCUGGGAUUAAAGGCAUGUGCCACCACGCCUGGGGAGAACUUGUUGGUCUUGCAGAGAACCAGGGUGUGACUCCCAGCACUCACUUGGCAGCUCAGAACCAUCCUAAUCCUAACUUCAGGACCUUCUCUGACCUCCAUGGGCUCCUCUGACCUCUUCUGACCUCUAUGGGCUCCUCUGACCUUCAUGGGCUCCUCUGACCUUCAUGGGCUCCUCUGACCUUCAUGGGCUCCUCUGACCGUCUCUGACCUCCACAGGCCCCAGGCAUACACAUUAGUGCAUAACCUCACAUGCAAGCAAAAUAUCCAUACACAAAAGUUAGGUACAUUUUUUAAGCAAUCAGAAAAGCGGGGAUAGCAAAACAAAGCAGAUUUUAGAUACAUAUGCCAAGAGACAAUUUAAAACAAAACUCCAAAUGCGGGACAACGGUGGCAUACACCUUUAAUUUCAGAAGAGGUAGGGAGAUGUAUGAGUUUGAGGCCAGCCUGGUCUACACAGACCAGGACAGCCAAGGCUACACAGAGAAACCCUGUCUCAAAAAAACUGUAAGUAGAGAUAGAUAGAUAGAUUCCCCCAAAAUCUACCUGUUAAUACUUUAUACUUUGUGUAUACCAAAAAAAAAAAAAAAAAAAAAAAAAAAAGUAUGGAAGAACACAAACCAAACUGCUAAUAGUUGUUAACUGUGGAGGAUGAAGCUGGGCUACAAUUAAGACCUAUAUGUCUUACAUGUUAAUGACUGGAUACAAACAAUACUUUCCACAUUGUUCUACUUUCAUUUUACUUUAAAAUUAGUGCUAUAGUAUAUGCAUGGACAGAUGCAUUGCAUAUAUACAUUUUCAGUGAAACAGAAAGACUAAUAUUUCGGUAGAAUAAUAUCCUCAGUAGAAAACAUGUGCUUCAUGAAUUCCCAAGGCAAUUAUUUGACCCCAAAUAUUAUGACAUUUAGAAAAUAUACUCUCACAGUAUCAUAUUUUUCCUAAGAUUCUUAAAAUAAGAACAUGUCAACUCUGUCCUUUCCAAAUGGGCCACCAAAUUCAGAUUCCAAUGGCCAGUCUCAAUUCAAGAGUAAACUAACUAAACCUGUCAAGAUAUUUAACAACAUAAUACAAAAUAUUGGCCCAAAAUGAAGCCCAUAUGUCCAAAAUACGCCUGACAGUGACAGCAACUGUUUAAAAGUCACUAAAGGAAAUAUAGCAACUUAAAAUUCAUUUCAGUUUCAAUUCUGAAUCAUUUCUCAGUCACUAACCUGGAAAAAAAUGUUUGAGCCAUUUGUCACUUCUGACUAAUCCCAAAUCCCUUAGCAUGGGCAGCUCUGACCUGGCCUACACUCACGUCUGCUGAGGGUGUGAGGCAGCCUGAGCUACAGCUUCAGGGCAGCUUGGGCUAAAGAAAGUCUCCCUCUGUAUGUGUCCGUCUGUCUGUGUGUCUCUGAUACACACACACACCUGCAAGAAGAUGAUUUGUCCAGAAAAAAACCGAAAGGUUCAUAUAAGCAGCCGGCAAGUCUUCUAUCUGCAGCUCAGCUACCUGUUUAACUCCCUAAACUACUGUGGGAAACAUGGAACCUACUCAAGUCCCUAAGACCAUGUGAGGCAAGACUAAUGGUGAGAUCGCAUACUGUGACUCUAACUUGGCUUUCUGCUCCUUUCAUGAGGUUGGGCUAUCAGUUCCGCCUGGAUGACUCAGAAUAUACAAUGACAAGUUUUCUAUAGGGUGCGCUUUGAAACGCUCAGCUGUCCUAAUGAACAGCAGGACUGAGGGGUUUUGUCCCUUACUCUCCACACAAGUGUAUUCCACAUCGACCUGCCCAACGCUAUCCCUAGAAUGUCAGUGCACUGUGAUGUCAGUAAAGUGGCAAGUGACAAACUCCAGUUGCUGAAGUACCCUUCCCUCUCCUAGAGUGAGCUCGAAAGAGGUUCAAGCUAACGAUCAGUACCCGAGCCUCAGAAGAUCCUUAUCCACAGUGAGGCCAAAAUGAGUGAGUUUGGAGUUCCCCCAAAUAAAAGAUUUCUUGCCGCACUCCACACAUGUAGCAGCCAUUUUUACUCCCUCAGAGCACCCUGCUCAGGGCCACAGAGUCCCAUUCUCACCUGACCAAGCUAGAGUUCGCUCGCUGCCAGGUGACUCUCAGCGCCUACUCCCACCUUUUUCAAAAGGUAAACCCUUGCCUAGUUUGCUGAGAAAACCAUGUGUUUAAAAAAAAUUAAAAGAAAUAAAAUCAUCCUAAGACUUAUGCAGGCUUUCAGGUUUCUUAAGCACGUGUAGGUGGCACACGUCUUUACUGCAGGUAGAGGCAGCAGAACUACGUGGUGAGUUCCAGAACAACUGGGAUGAGGGACCCCAUCUCAUAAAACCAAAACCAAAAAUGUGUGUAUUUAGUUAUUGCCCGUGUGUGUGCCUUAUCACUCACUCCCAAUUACAAACUAAUGAAGGGUUUGUUUUUGGUUUUUUCUUUGCCUGUGAUACUGAAAAUGAAACCAGGACCUUGCACAGGCUAGCAAGCACUAGCUAGCAAGGGCUAGGCAAGCACUAGCUAGCACAGGCUAGUGAGCACUAGCUAGCACAGGCUAGGUAAGCACUGGCCACAUCCUCAGCCCAGCACUGUAGAAGCAGAGUUCAGGAGAUCUCUGUGGGUUCAAGGCCAGCCUACUCUGCACAGUGAGCUCUUAGGGGGCAGCACAGUGGCUUGCUGGAUGCAGGCCUUGCAGCAGGCCUGGUGACCUAAGUUUCAUCCUGAGAUCCACAUAGUAGAGGAGGAGAAUCAACCCCUGCAAACUGCCUUGACUUACAGACCCACAUACUGAUUAAUAAUGAUGUCAUUUUCUUUAAAGCACUGAGUACUUCAGAGUGAUUUGGAGAAAAACAAUUAAAACUAAGUCAAAAUUCUUCAAUGUUUUUGAGGUUGGGAUCGCUGCUAUGCUGAGAGCCAAACUACCCCCAAAUGUAAUUGUCAGUGAGGGCCAAGGACGUGCUGAAUACCAACUGAGGCCUGCAGCAGGGACCGGCCACGUUCACGGCCCCACACUUAACCUUUCUUUUCUACACUUUCUUCUUCUUCUUCUUUUUUUAAUUAUUGCAUGUUUCCAUUCUUUUUUCUCAAGAUUCAUUUCAUAUUUUUUUCAACUCUAUGUAUAUGUGUCUGGGUGAAUAUACACUUGUGACUGAAGGUGCCCAGAAGAGGGCAUUAGAAGCCCCGGAGCAGGAGUUACACACAGUCGGUGAGGUGAGCCUUCACUGGGAACUGACCUCGGGGCUUCUGUAAGAGUGGCACACACUCCAGAGCCUUACUCUGUGUGCCACCUUACCAGCACACACACCUCCUUCCUUCCAUUCUCCGUCCCUUUUCCGUCAUCCUGAGACUACUGACUCAGCCACCUUGGGGACAGAGAUGAGGUCUGUGUCCUCCCUGCUCUACGGCCAUUUCACCUUUGCAGCAAUUCAGUAUUUCACCACCUGUCACACUCUGUGCUCCUGAUAAAUGCACUGGCACAGGCUGGAACCACAGUUCACUGCUUGAGAUAGGGCCUCACUGUGCAGCUCAGGCUAGCCUUGAACUCACAAGGACUUUCUCCCCUCUGCCCCAAACUGCUGGAAUUACAACUGUACACUGCUAUACCUGGCUUUUCUUUUCUAUAUUUCUUUUGUUCAAUCUUCAUAAAUUGGCUUUAACCAGGUUUAUCCUGUCCUAUGAGCCAACACUUUCUCAAAGUCUGAUUAUAUGUGUGUGUGUGUGUGUGUGUGUGUGUGUGCGUGUGCGUGUGCGUGUGUGUGUGUGUGUGUGUGUGUGUGUGUGUUUGUUUGUUUCUAGGCAGCAUUUCUCUGUGUGGUCCCCCCUGGCCAUCCUGGAACUCACUCUGUAGACCAGGCUGGCCUCACUGCCCAACCGGCUUUGUUAUUCUUCAAGAACUUUGUUUCUGACAGGACUUACAAGCUCUUGUGCUCUUUGGCCAGAAGUCUGGCAUAUUCGGUAUAUUCUCAGCUCAUCCCUUAUCUUUGUAGGCUCCUUCCUCAGAGCCACAUUGCCAGCAUCUGUGCCUUGGGCUUCUCACCUUUGUUGGCUAGAGAGUCUCUGACACACUGGCAGACACUGUGUUCUGUAGAGAGUCUGGAAAAUUUACAGACUCUGCUAAGCCUUUUUGGGUCCCAGACAAUGAGGUGCAGAAGUAACAGUAGACGGAAGAUAGUUUCUUAGAUAUGAUUAACAUAAUUCAUAAGAGAAAAAAUGAAUGGGCAGAAGAGAUGGCUCAAUGGUCAAAGCAUUUGUUUCUUUUCCAGACAAGGGGAAUUUUGCUCCCAGCAUCCACAGCUGGCAGGUCAUGCCCACCAGUAACUCCAGCUCCAGGGGACCCAACCCCCUUUUCUGCCCUCCACAGAAACCUGCACACACACACACACACACACACACACACACACACAGAGAGAGAGAGAGAGAGAGAGAGAGAGAGGGAGAGAGAGGGAAAGGGAGAGGGAGAGGGGUUAAAACAACAUUUAUUUAUUUAUUUAUUUAUUUAUUUAUUUAUUUAUUUAUUUUUGGUUUUUCGAGACAGGGUUUCUCUGUGUAGCCCUGGCUGUCCUGGAACUCACUCUGUAGACCAUGCUGGCCUCGAAAUCAGAAAUCCACCUGCCUCUGCCUCCCGAGUGCUGGGACUUUAAAAGAGGAAACAAAGAGCAAAAGAGCAACUGGAAUUCAGAAUGAAAACUCUUGCUCCUGCGGUGGGUGGGCGGUGGGAGAGGGCAGUGGCUAUGAGCUCAUGCUGCUUUUGCAGAGAAAGUGAAUUCAGUUCCCAGCACCCAUGGCAGGUGGUCCACAUCCGCUGGGAACUCCAGCUCUGGCGGAGCUUCCGGUCUGCUUGAGUACUUGGACUCAUUGUAUUUGCCCAUACAAACACAUAAAUAGAAAAUAAAUUUAUAUUAUGUACGUAUAAAUUCUAGAAAAAUAUUUACUCAUAAAAAGACACCUUUGUGAGAACAAAAAGAUAAUACACAUAUUUGUGAAGCACUGAGUGAUAAAGUCUUAUACCAUGGGCUGGAAAGAUGUGGAAAGAUGGCUCAGUGGUUAAGAGCACCAACUGCUCUUCCAGAGGUCCUGAGUUCAAUUCCCAGCAAUCACAUGGUGGCUCACAACCAUCUGUAAUGGGAUCCGAUGCCCUCUUCUUCUGGUGUGUCUGAAGAGAGCAAUGGUGGUGUACUCAUGUACAUAAAACAAAUAAGUAAAUCUUAAAAAAAAAAAGACAUACCAUAAUAGAAGAGUCUGCUAAACUCAGUAAGUCUAUAUACCUUUAAAAUGCAUCAAGUCGGAGGGCGUGGCCGAGGGCCAAAGCUUAUGCUUGGCGGGCUCAAGGCCCUAAGCCCUAGGCUCAAUGUCUAGCACCACAAAAAAAUAACCACAAAGGUUUUUUUUUUAAUAGGCCAAAAAAAAUUGUACGAAUACCUACCAAUGUCGAUAUUCAGUUGGCAAAUAAGUACAUUAAAAGGUAUUCAAUAUCAUUUGUCAAUAGGAAAGUACAAAGUGACACUGUGAAAUAGCAUGUACAACUACCACUAAAAGUUAGAAGAUGAUGGGCCAGCUUACUCACCAGGUAAAGCCCUUUCCUGCCACGACUGACAACCUGAGUUUGAGCCCCACCCCCACCAGGCCCCUUGUGUCUUGAAAAAACAAAACUAACUCUUUCAAGUUGUCCUCUGACAUACACAUACUCUCUAUGGCACAUGCUCAUGCACAGAUGUGUGUACACAUGAAUGUAAUUUUUUAAAAAAUUAAAACAUCAUCAUCAUGGAGUGACGGGUAGGGAUUUUUGUGUACCUGAGCCUGUCAUGAGAAUGGCAGUUCUUUAAACUAAACAUAAACUUAAAGGUAAGCAUAAGCCUACCAACAACACCUGGCAACACCUGGGAGCUUUAUCUGUGCCAGCUGCAGACCAGAAAGGACCCAGGUGCUCAUCAGUGGGUGAGGAAGUAGACAGAGCAGGUGGCACCUACACACCCUAGGAUUACUGGGCAGAAACAUGCAGAGCCUUCAUACAGAUGAGAACAAUGGAUGAAUCACCAGACAGGGAGGCAGCCCAUCUGUGCUGACCGAGAUGACUAUUUUUUCUGGCAGUGCAGCACAGCGGGACUAAAUGCAAACAACGCUAAGAAACUUUUGGUAAGAUUUGUCUAUAUCUUGAGAUGUGCUCAUUAAAUGGGCUUAUAAGUUGUAAAAUAUGAUUUUUUAUUUUAUUUGUUUUUAUUUUUUUGGUUUUUCCAAGACAGAAUUUUCUCUGUUUAGCCCUGGCUGUCCUAGAACUCUCCAUGUAGACCAGGCUGCUUCAAACUCAAGAGAUCUGCUGGUGUGUGCCACCAGUUAAAAUAUCAACUUGCAUACUAAAAAUGGUUCAAUUUUUAAAAAAUGAAUAUUUUUAUUAGGUAUUUUCUUCAUUUACAUUUCUAAUGCUAUCCCAAAAGUCCCCCCAAACCCUCCCCCACCCCAACUCCCACUUCUUGGCCCUGGCGUUCCCCUGUACUGAGGCAUAUAAAGUUUGCAAGACCGAUGGGCCUCUCUUUCCACUGAUGGCCGACUAGGCCAUCUUCUGCUACAUAUGCAGCUAGAGACAUGAGCUCUGGGGGUACUGGUUAGUUCAUACUGUUAUUCCACCUAUAGGGUUGCAGACCCCUUUAGCUCCUUGGGUACAAUGGUUCGAUUUUAUGGUAUGCAAAUUAUACCAAUCAGAUUAAGGAUAUUAACAUAGCCAAGCAUGGUGGGACAUACCCAUUAUCCCAGCACUUGAGAGGUCAAACAGGAAGACUUCCAGGGCAAAGGCACAGACAGACAGACAGACAGACAGACAGAACUUUUUUAAAAAAGCAAGAAAUACUUGAGAUCAGCACUAUGGAAGAUAAGGAUCAUUAAGAGGCUGAACUGGGAUCUGCCUGCCCUUAACAUAAUUAAGUUCACAUACCUCUAUAUGCCUCGGUCCCACCUCCUGAUUCAAAACAGAGAAAUCCUUCAGAUGCUAUGGAAGUAUCUGUUUAAAAGAACUUUAAGACUACACAGCCAAUACCAUCAUCUCUACCAAGACACACCACCAAGAACACACAAUGACAUCAAAACUGAAUAUUAGCACAUCUCAUGUGUCAAAAAUGGCUCCCUACAGUUGCAAGAUGAAGUCAGAACACCUCAGCCACUCAGCCUUCAUCAUCUGACCCCAUUCCAUCUGCAGGAAACAGCCUGUACUGCUCACACAUCUAAUUUCCCCACCCCUUUCUAAAAUUACAUCAGUGUGGUGGUCAGAACCUGGGGUCGUCUCCUCUUUCCCAACACCGUGUAGGUCUGCAGAGUUAAACUCAUGUCACCAGGCUUUGUAAUAAGUGUUAUCUUAGUGUCCAAAGUCCAGUUCUCACAUUUUAUUUUUAAAAAUGAUUUCUAAAACUACCUACAAACCCAAUAAAAACACUUAUUUCUAAACCAAAUGUUCUCUCUUAGGUCAGCAAGGUGGCUCAGCUUGUAAAGGCUCUCGUCGCCAAACCAGCUGUUCAGAGUCAGAGGACUAAAACAUAAUAAUGUUCUUCACCUGUAAGCCAUCUCCAGCACCUUCAGGUUUUAAUUUUUGUUUUUGUUUCUUUUCUUUUUUUUUUUUUUUCAAGGCAGGGUUUCUCUGUGUAGUUCUGGAUUUCCUGGAACUCACUCUGUAGACCAGGCUGGCCUUGAACUCAGAGAUCUGCCUGCCUCAGCCUCCAAUACUGAGAUUAGUGGUGUAUACAACUACACCCUGUGUCACAUGUCCAGUAUUUUGUUUGUUUUUAUUUUUUUAAAUGAAAUACAGACCAGCAACUCAAAAAGCUAUUUUUGGGUAGACAUUGUUAUGCCUUUAAUUCUAUUAUGUGGGAGGUGUGGGCAUAAGUAGGCAGAUCUCUGUGAGUUCAAGGCCUGCCUGGUCUACAGAGUAAGUUCCAAGACAGCCAGGGCUACACAGCAAAACCUUGUCUAGAAAAACAAAACAACAACAGCCGACUAUUUUUAAAGGUAAACAUUCUAACACAACACGAUACAAUGUAAAGACACACUAAGAGGAAAAGAUGGCCUUUGCUUUUUUUGUUUGUUUGGUUGGUUCGGUUUUUCGUCACAGUGUUUCUCUGUGUAGUCCUAGCUGUCCUGGAACUUACUCUGUAAACCACCAGGCUGGCCUCAAACUCAGAAAUCCGCCUGCCUCUGCCUCCCAAGUGCUGGGAUUAAAGGGGUGCUCCACCACUGCCCGACAGGCCUUUGCUUUCUAUAAUCAAACUAUUACAUUUCUAUGCGAGCAGCCGACUGUGUGUGCAAUCAUUCCAAAUCCGAGCUUAGGUGUUUCUGAGUGUUUGUUGGUACGCUGUUUUCUUAAUGAGGGCUAAAGUCAAGUCCUGAGAUUAAACGCUGAGUGCUGGCAGGUUCAGCUGAUUCCUCAUUGUUUCCAUUCUGAAGAUUAAGUAACUGUGAGUUCAGAAACCUUGUACCCCAAGUCUCACAAUUCCUGCAUUCAGUUAUUCAGUGACUCCCGGAUUGUUCCCCACAAUUUAAAAAGCUGUGGCCUACUCUACAUGACCUGGCUGAAUGUCUACCUGGUCUUUAUCUUGUUUGUCUGUGAGAAAGGAUGAUCACAGGCUUUAAGUCCCUCUUGAUGCAGGCUGGCCCAAACUGGUAGGAUGUAAGAUAGCUGCCAAAGUGGCCCCCAGACAACCUCAGUCUCCACUGUAAUGCUAUAUAUAUGCACAACAGCACACACUCUGGAGUCAUGGCAAGUGACAGCUACCAUGCUGACACCUGGAGAACAUUAUUUUGAGAGAGAGAGAUAGUUAGUUAAUUCUUGGAAAAUCACAAAUUAAAAAAAAAAAAAAAAAAAGAAGAGCAUUCCUCUCUUUAUUACUAAUCUACAGCUCUACUUACAGAAUAAAGGCCGAAAAGUUUGACUUAGAGUUUAUCUCCCGCUUCUCCUAUUGGCUGAAGUCUUCUUCAUUGCUCAACCAGUGUGCCAUCUUGUUACCGGUUCUACAAUUCCAAGAGGGCAAAGGGGCCAACUCUAGGGGUGAAAUUCAGCAACGUCCCAUCUAGGGACAGGAAGAUGGAGGAGAAGGAGACGGAACCAGGUUUUGGAUAUUUCGUCUUCGUGGACUUUCUGGUGUUUAUGGAACUUUUCAACCAUAUAUAUGGGGAGCAGAUAAAAUUAAAUCCCAUGAGCCUUCUAUGGCCAACAGCCAACUUAGCCCAAUCUCAGUAAGUGCAUGGCCUGUGCUUCAUCUUCCUAGCAGAUUCCAGACAGCCUGUCACCCAUGCAAUCCAGUAUACCACACCCUUCUAAAGGUAAGAGCGUUAACAGUACUGUCCCACCCAGGGGGGAAACCAGACAGCCAGUCAAUAGUAAAUCUCCCAAAAAUGUCUAUCAUAUAUUUUUAGGAGUUAGUUUGUUCCGAAUCACAGUUUAGGAUUAUUGCAGGAUGGCCGUGAGCUUUCCUCCUGCUCCACAGUGUCUUGGUGAGAUUCCUAGGUGUGGGCCAAAGGCAUCUCCUGCCUUCCUAUUCAAGAAAACGCCCCUCCAAAUUCCCAGCAAUGCUGUCUGCAAUUCCCCAAGAGCUUUCGGCACAUUCCAAAAAGCAUGCGCUCAGUCACAUGGGUGCUUCCUUCAGGCUUGAGCUGCUACGAACAGGUGCUACCGGGGACUUCAACGCUUCCUUCGCACACGGACAGCACGCUGGCCCACUAGGAGGCUCCCGCAGAGCUCACUUUUCCACGCUAUGUUACUACAUUUGUCAGUCUCCCAUUUUAAGUGAGUUACUUUCUUUUUUAAAAUUCAUAAAUUAAUGCAUAGUAGUAUGUACACAAGCCAAAAGAAAUCGGAGCAAAUUGCUGAGAGUUCAACAGUAGUUUUUCUUUAUUCUGGUGGUUUGGUUUGGUUUUUGAGACUGGGUCUCACUGUUUAGCUUAGACUGGCCUUGAACUCAAGAGAGAUCCUUGUCCUCUGCCUUCCAGGCGGAGGACAGGGCAUGUGCCACCACUCUAGUUUAAUUUUUUUCGUAGUCACAGGGGAACGAGUUCAGAAGCUAGGCAAUAAUCACCUCACAUACACCCUAUCGCUAGACAGUAACAUGAAUGCAGAUAGUCUAUAGGUAUCUAUAGGGUCAUUUCCCUUCAACUUCAGAAUAAACAACAGACACAGGUGAAUUUCUUCUGGGUACUGGGGAACUGAACCUAGGGCCUUGCACAACUAAGCACAAUGUUUACGCUGAACUACGUCUGUCUCCAGUCCCCAGAAGAAAUUCUUUUGGGGGACAGAUAGAAUCUCAUCACUGCAUCUAAGCCCCAGCAGCUAGUGACCAUGGAUUUCAUCAAGACAAACGGAAUGAAAACCCUUCUCUAAUUGCCCACUUCCUUGGGCUCAGCACUAGAGACAAGUAUCACCUCUGCCCUUUUUAGACCUGAGCAGGUAAAACACUACACAGAAGCAGUCAGGCCACAGCGAGUCGUGUGAGUCGGUCUACAAAUAAGCACUGAACAUCUUAAUCAGGAAAAGUAGUGCAGUCCGUGAAAAGCGAGAGUCGACAAGAGCCACGUAAGUGAAAAGGAACUUUAAAAAGCUAUUAGGAGGGCUAGGAGGAUGGGUCCUGUUCUUUCCGAGACAUUGGACUCAGGAUAAGUAAGAGUGACCAUCAAAACACGUGAGACCCUCACUAAUUUCACACUGCCACUUUCUAAAAGAUUUAUUUAUUUAAUUAAUGUAUACAGGUAUUUUGAUUGUGUGCAUGCUUGUGCCCCCUGUGUCUGCCUGGUGCUAGCAGGGGCCAGAAAGAGGAUAUCGGAUCCCAUGGAACUGGAGUAACAGCUGGUUGUGAGCUUCCAUAUAGGAGAGGAACUCAGGUCCUCUGAAAGGGCAUCCAAUCCUCUCACCAGUCCCUAUUCUACACUGCCACUUGUUAAAGACCACUACUUAAAACUGUAAACGCGGGCUGGUGAGAUGGCUCAGUGGGUAAGAGCACCCGACUGUUCUUCCGAAGGUCCAGAGUUCAAAUCCCAGCAACCACAUGGUGGCUCACAGCCAUCUGUAACAAGAUCUGACGCCCUCUUCUGGAGUGUCUGAAGACAGCUACAGUGUACUUACAUAUAAUAAAUAAAUAAAUCUUAAAAAAAAAAACAUAUGAAAAAAAAAAAAAAAAAAAACUGUAAACGCGCUUUCCUGGCAUGGUUAUUUGUCUUUGUAAGGUUGCUGAGCGCAACCCAGAAAGUGUACUAACAUUCCCCAGACAGAACCAACACUAACUGAUACAGAGGAAUGCUUUUGCUACCUGCCAGUGCCACUGGGAGACCACUAAAGGUCAGUCAGUCUCCUCAGUGGUUGUGUAAUUAAAUGGCUUAGACUCAAUUAGGACAAUUAAGGCAAGAGACAGGAGAAUGGAACCUAGCAGGAAAGCCCAUGACUAAUGCUGAAUCAGUUUCUAAGCGAUUACCUCAUCGAAACAUCACCCUCCCAUAUUAACGCUCCCCACAAUGGUCCCUGGAAGUACAUCAAAGGUGUUACCCAAAAAGUACUCAAGAUUGCAGGUCAAUGCUGACAUUGGGCACAGAAAAGCCGAUGGGCACGUGACAGUUUGAACCUUUCCGUCCUCAAACUUCGGGAUGGGAGAAUCCAUGGUUAUGAUUACAGGUUUCCAUGCAUACUGACACGCAAUAACACCUCCUAAAUCAAAAGCUGAGAGCCGCCGGGCGCGGUGGCGCACGCCUUUGAUCCCAGCACUUAGGAGGCAGAGGCAGGCAGAUUUCUGAGUUCGAGGCCAGCCUGGUCUACAAAGUGAGUUCCGGGACAGCCAGGGCUAUACAGAAAAACCCUGUCUCAAAAAACAAAAAACAAACAAAAAAAAAAACCAAAAGCUGAGAGCCCACACUACCACUGCACCUCAGGAAAGCUUUAACCUCUAUGCAGAAGGACUCAGAGACAGAACUAAAUGUAUAUUAAAGCCACACCUUUAAAAAUAGUAAAAAUUGCCAGACAAUUUUUGGCAAUGGUUAUGCAUACCUUUAAUUUCAGCACUUAGGAGGCAGAUACAGGUAGAUCUCUGAGUUCAAGACCAGCCUGAUCUAUAGAGUGAGUGUGUUCCAUGACAUACAAAACUACACAGACAAACCCUGUCUCAAAAAAAAAAAAAAAUUAAAUAUGUAAUUAUUUUGUACACGGGCAGUUGCAUGCGCACCUGUGUGCAUGUACAAGUCACAGCACACAUGUGGAAGAGGACAAGUUUCAGGAAUUGGUUUUCUCCUUCUACCACGUAAGCUCCUGGGUCUGGGAUUGUCACGCUUGGUGGUGUGUCUCUUUUUUUUUUUUGGUUUUUCGAGACAGGGUUUCUCUGUAUAGCCCUGGCUGUCCUGGAACUCACUUUGUAGACCAGGCUGGCCUCGAACUCAGAAAUCCGCCUUCCUCUGCCUCCCGAGUGCUGGGAUUAAAGGCGUGCGCCACCACGCCCGGCUGGUGGUGUGUCUCUUAACCACUAAACCGUCUCACCAGCCCUACCCCUAUGUAAUAUACAUAUUCAGUGCCUCCAUUAAUUAUGUUCCUUGGGGUUUCUUCUAGUCUUUCAUCCACAGCAGGCUACACAGUGACACCUUUAUGGAGAACACUGUAGAGAUUCUGGCUAGGUACAGUUGAAACUGGAAUUCAGCUCUGGCAACAGCUGCCUGACUAUCAGCAAGAGUUUACAAUAAUACAGACCCACCUAUGCCUCUCAGCUCCGCUACUUAAAACACAUAAGGAUCUGAACAAGUUACAGCUUAACACCUGCUGCCCUCGAUGGAACUGGGGACUCUCACCCUGCACUGCUGUGGAGGGCCUAGAAGGAACUCCAUGAAGCACAGAGGAUGGAGUGGGGCUCUGCAGAUGGCAGUAAAGGCAGAGGGACUGUGAGCUGUAGACAGUAGGAACCGUAUUAGUCAGUCAGCUCAGCUUGCAUCUUCCUCUCUGCACCCCAGCUGUGGGAUGAGUUACCUCCUGCCUAGAAUUCCAAGAGGUCUCCAAAGGAAGAAGGCUCUGCUGUGAGGUCCAAACUAGCCACCGCCAGGCCUCGUCCUUAGCACCGUAUCAUCCCCUCCCUAACCUCGAGGCUGCUAAGAAAACCCUGUUUCCAAGGUUAGCUGAAUUCUUCUUUUAUGGCCUCAGGCCAACACAUUCCUAGAGCAAAUUUGAAAGCCGUUUGGCUUAGAGUCUUCUAGGGAGGGCUGAACAUCCCAGAUUUCUCAAGAGCCCCCAUGUUUUGGUUUACCACACUCUGUACUUCGAGGCAGCAGUAGGUCUUGAAGGUCUUCCAGCCCCACACACCAUUUCUGUCACAGACUGAUAUCUAGUCUUCUCCGACUUAGCAAGCAGGACCCUGCUUUCUAGGAUGACAGGUUCCUGCCUUCCCCUACUCCUCUCUUACAGAUGUGCAGCAGGACCUAUGCUCACGGGGAUUCAGAGAGAUGGGACUUCUCUGACUUUGGUUCCCCCUACACCUCUGAGGGGUAGAGUGCUGCUCUAGGCUGUGGGAGGAACUUAGAGUACUUUCCUGGCACGUGUGCCGGGACCUGGGUGUGAUUCCCAAUUACUGUAAAACAAACUAAUGUAAAAUAAUGCAUUUACCUCAUAGACACAGGCAGGCUUAAAUAAGAAACGUAUGACCAUGUUAUAUGGAUUUAAUUAUAACAAGUUUCUAUUAUGACUUAAAAGUUCCUAAUCAAUACACAAAACUGUAACAGAGACAGUUAGGUGCUAGGGCUGUGGCUUAGGUGGUGAUUGCCUAACAUGCACAAGGCCCAAGAUCUGGUCCUCAGUGUGGCACAGAACAAACAAACAAACAACACCGCCUGUGGCGCAAGCCUGCAUUCCCAGCACUCAGAAGUAGAGGAAAAGGAUCAAAAGUUUUGGUCAUCCUUGGGUAUAAAAUUCAAGGCCAACCUGGGCUAUAGGCGGCACUCUCUUCUUGACUCUAGCUGCAUAUGUAUCAAAAGAUGGCCUAGUCAGCCAUCACUGGAAAGAGAGGUCCAUUGGACUUGCAAACUUUAUAUGCCCCAGUACAGGGGAACGCCAGGGCCAAAAAAGUGGGAAUGGGGGGGCUGGUGAGAUGGCUCAGUGGGUAAGAGCACCCGACUGCUCUUCCAAAGGUCUGGAGUUCAAAUCCCAGCAACCACAUGGUGGCUCAAAACCAUCCGUAACGAGAUCUGAUUCCCUCUUCUGGAGUGUCUGAAGGCAGCUACAGUGUACUUACAUAUAAUAAAUAAAUCUAAAAAAAAGUGGGAAUGGGUGGGUAGGGGAGUGGGGGGCAUAUGGGGGACUUUUGGGAUAGCAUUGGAAAUGUAAAUGAGGAAAAUACCUAAUAAAAAAUAUUUAAAAAAAAAAAACCUCCCUCUGGUUUUUUUAAUCAGCAAUAGAUUGAAAGUAACUCAAUAGUUAAAAGUAAACCAGGCCCUUUCAUGUAAGAGAAAAGAGGAAGGAGAGAGCUCCUCCCAAGGCUAGCAGAGAAACACUCCAGAUACCAGAAAAGAAGGUAUGGGUAGGACUACACAGCUGUGUGGAUCGCCUACUUUAAGAGAGUGAAUAAUGGCCAUACCCAAAAUACCUCAGGAGGCUGGGGGUGUGCUUGGCGGCCGAGUGCUUCCUUCCUUAGCUAGGUUCAAUCUCUAACAGUCAGGAGAAAGGAAGAAAGAAAGAAAGAAAGAAAGAAAGAAAGGAAGGAAGGAAGGAAGGAAGGAAGGAAGGAAGGAAGGAAGGGAGCGAGCAGGUGUGGUGGUACAUGUCCUUGACACCAGCUCUCAGGGGGCAGAGACAGGAGGAUCUGUUAGUCCAAGACCAGCCUGGUCUACAUAGUGAGUUCUAGAACAGCCAUGAUUACCCAGUCCAGUGAGGCCCUGUUUUGAAAUUUAAAAAAAAAAAAGUUUGUUGUUGGUCUUUGGUUGCUUGGUUUUGGUUUUUUGAAACGGGAUCUCUCUGUAUAGCCCUGGCUGUUCUGGAACUCUAUCUGUAGACCAGGCUGGCCUCGAACUCACAAAGACCCACCUGUCCCUGCCUCCCAAUAGCUAGGAUUAAAGACAUGAGCCACCACUGUUUGGCUUGUUUUGUUUCGAUUUUUGUUUUUUUGUUUUUGUUUUUAAGAAAAAGGAAAAAAAUCAACACUCUUGAAGACAGUUAUGAGAUCCACUGCCUCUGGGAGGCAACCUGGAGGGCUUCUCUCAGCCACUGCCACUUGGAACCCUUAUUUUCUAUAAAUGGUGAAGCAACAUCAUUUCUUCUACUACAUACUAAAUGCCGAUAGGCCAAGGCAGCAUGAGGUGGCCAGCAAGUCUGACAAGUCACUUCCUGGGCCAGCUUGAACAUGACACUUAACAGCUAUGCUCCCUCCAUGAUCUCACUCCAUCAGCAACUGAGGUUAAUUUAUUCCUUCUAGUCAAACUUCCUGACUUGCUAAUUAUGAGUCUGUGUGCAAGGCAUUUCCACACUCAAUGUUAUUUAUAACUCUAAGCUUACUUAGAAGGGGCCUCUGAACUAUAACACUUCCUACCUUCAGGGCAUGGAGCGGUUACAUCCAAUGCUAACUUUUCUAAAUCAAAUCCUAAUCGCUCAAGGCCUACAAGAUCGAAGCAAGCUCUUAACCUGAACUUCAAGGAUUAAGUGACUACCAUGCAGAGCACUGCCCCUGUUCGGAGAGAUGAACUUCCUCCAAUCUGGAAGGAUAGUCCUCUAAACUUUGCUGAAUAGCUUUUGCAUGGGGGUAAAUAACAUUUCCAGAGGCAGGGAUUAAAAAACCUGCUUAGUAGUUAAGAGCACCAGCUGCACUUUCGGAGGACCACAGUUCAGGUCCUAGCAUCCACAUGAUGGCUCACAGCCACCUCUAACUGCAGAUUCAGAGCAUCAGACAACCUCUUCUCGUCUCCGAUAGGCAACAGAAUGCAAGUGGAUGCACAGACAUACAAACACUUAUACAAAUAAAAUAAAACCAAAUAGACCUUUUUCUCCCCCUUAAUUUCCAAAGACAAUGUUCUCCAAACAUAAAAUUUUAAAUGACAUCAUCUGAAACAUAGCUCUAAUCACACUGGAGCAACACCCCAGCCCCUGACACUGCCCAAAAGUGCAGCGACCGCACCUCUCUUCUGGCUCCCCUACGGUGAGCACGUUAUUUUUGGAGCAAGUCUAUGAAGCAGCACUUUGUGGACGCUGGGCUCCAUCCUCUGAAUGUUCCCUUCACAUUCCUUCUUAGUCCUCUCCCUCCUGGCACUGAGCCCCAAAACCUCAGCAGAAUCCAUAAUGAAACACUGGGUUACUUUAGGGCAAGAAGGUUAAGCCUACGAAAGCUUUCUAAUUGGAAAGCCUCUUCUGUGAAAGCAGAUAGAGAUUUGCUGGCUCCUCUUUCUCUUUCUCUUGUGUUCCAACAGGUAGCUGCCUCUCCUGGAACCAAGUGUAAAAGCCGGCCGGCCGGCCGGCCAGGCAGCAUAACUCCAGUGCGGACAGGUGCUUUGCAAGCACAGUAAAUCUCGGGGCAACAAAUCAACAGGAGCCAGCUAACUUCUCCUGACGCACUGCUCACUGAGGUGCAAAGCCUCUCCGUUAAGACGAGCAUUGAGAAAAACGAACAUCUGCAAGAAAAGGAGCCCGUUCUCUGCCCAGAGAAAACUCAAGAAGGAAGACUUGCCACAUAAAAAACUCUUUAUUCCAGGGUUAUUUUCAGUGGCACUUAACUGCAGGGUGGAGACCAAGGGUCCCAAACAAACCUACUUGAUUUAUUUUUCUCCUUUAGUAAUUCUGAAAUCCAAGGUUAGGUUUACUAAGGCAAGUCUGAAGGUUCAUCAGAACCUCUGUUGUUUUAAAGAAAAGGAGAAAUGCAAAACUAUACUUGUAAAUAUAAGAGCUUGGGGGGGGGGUUGGUUGGUUGUUUUUCGUUUUUUAGAAUUAAUGGAACUUCAUGGAAGCACUCUAGAACUUUCCAAUCAAAACGAAAACAAGAAUGGAAUCACAAAAAGCAUGGCGCUUCCAAUGGCUCUCUUCUCCAGACUUCACUAAAGGUCUCUAAGGGAACCCUGAAGUUGGCUGUGCAGGAGAAAGACAUUAGUGGAGUCCAAGAGAAUGCUCUAGUUCAUAGUUUAGGAAUGUCUAAUGUUUUACAGAGAUAAAGAGGCCACGGUACAGAAACUGUGAUUUUUUUUUUUCAGCAGUUUCCUAAACUCCACAAGAAGCUACCCAGUAUGUAACUGCAGUACUACUUAUCACACGAAGGUGACAUGCCAGGCCCAAGGUGAGAAAUCAAGGUCACUAAACUGAACUCCUGCAACCUCUUUAAGGAGGGUGAAAAGGUUCAACGGUCUCACUAUAUAGCCAGGAGGAACUGGAACUCUUGAAUCCGCAGCGCUCUGCCUGCUGGCACUACAGCAUCGGCCACGUCACCCCCUCCCUCCUUAACACUGUCAGGCUGAUGGCCUUCCACUCCCUUCUCUGUAGGUAACCCAGCACCAACUCAACUAUCCUGAUGCUCUUCCUGCUCCCCUCCCAUUACAAACUGAGGAAGCUGGAGAGAGAGAGGCCCAGUGCUUAAGAGCACUGGCUGCUCUUCCAGAGCAUCUGGGUUCAAUUCCCAGCACACACAUGGCAGCUCACAAUUAUCUGUAACUCCAGUUCUUAGGGAUCAGACACCUUCACACAUACAUACACAUAAGCAGAACAUCAAUAUACAUAAAUAAAGAGAAAUCAUUUUCUAAAUGAGAAAGAAAAUUGAGGGGGAAAAAAAACAGAUUUCUUUUUUCUAAACAUUCCCAAAGUAACGAGGGAGACUUUUUUAAAGACUGAUUUUAUUUCUAUUUAGACAUGAUUUAAUACUAUGUUUGUGUGGCAUACACAGUGGGUGUAAUUGAGCGUAGGUGCCAUUUGCCGGAAAAAGUCAGUUAGGAACUCACAGUACAGGUGGUUGGGAGGCAUUCUAUGCCAGUGCAAGAAGCUCAGUUCUUUUUUCUUUCAUUUUGUUUCUUUUCCCCCUUUUAAAGUUUGUAAGUCGGGGUUUCACUCCUGUAGCCCUGGCUGUUCAGGAGCUCACUCUGUAGAGCAGCUAGCCUCCAACUCCCAGAGCUCCACCUGCCUUUGUCUUCUGAGUGCUCCGAUUAAUAAAGGCCUGAGCUACCUCAUCCUGCUAAAAGCUGACUUCUCAGACAGUAGUAAGUGAUCUUAGCCUUCCAGUCAUCCCGCAAGCCUGGAGUGAGGUUUAAAGACAGUCCGAGCCAGACGCUAGGGCAGUGACACAGCUGGCAGAGCAGUGGCUCAGAUCCAUCUUCAGCACCCCAGGAACUGGGUGUGGCACACACCUGCAACCCCAGUACUUAAGAGGUAGAGGUGGGAAGAUUAGAAGUUCAGGUUCAUCCUGUGGUAUAGGGUGAGUUCAAGGCCAGCAUGGUCUACAUGAAAUCCUGUCUCAAACAGCAAACAAACAAACAAAGUAAAGAUCAAGCCAGAACUACGUAUACUAUAAGAAGUUCUUCAGAAACAAGGUGGAACUAGACUGGAAGCCCCCUCCUGAGAGUUAGCUUUCCUAGAGCUGGAAAACGCUAUGUAGGCUGCUGGAAGAGAAAGACAUUAACUGCCGUAACCAGCUGGGAACUCUACAAACUGUAUACAAUUAAAAACUGCCAGUAGAGACACACCCACUGGCCCAACAGUGGCAUGACUAUUAAGGCGGUAACCAAGACCUUCUAACUGGAGUUGAGGCCACUACACCAGAAAACUCACUCCCAGUACUACAAACCUGAACAGACGUGCAUGCCCAGGAAGCUCAUUAGCACUGGGGCGGGACCUUCCUAGUAAAUGCUAAAUGGACAUGACGUCAUACUGCCUUCUAAAUAUUUAUGUUUAUACCCAUAGAUUAGGGCAGCUCUCAGCCUGGGUCAGAGGAUCUUCUCUUUGAAGUCGGCAAAGGCUCACAAGUGGUGAGAAUAAGAGAUUGUAGAGUGCUCAGCCACAGAUGGAAUGUCUAUACCACGCCCUCCAAGGCUCAGGGAACAUAGUGGAAGAGAAAGAAAAAUAUAAGAGACAUGGAGUGGUGUGAAACACUAUCCUCAUGGCAACAUGAUUACUCUAAUUUCAGAGUCACACUGGACUACACAAUGAGUUCCAAACCAGCCUAGGUUACAGAGUGAUACCUUGUCUCGAAAUAAAAAUAAAUAAGGCCAGAUGUGGUAGCACAUGCCUAUAAUCCAGAACUUGGGAGGUGGUGUCUGGAGGGUCAGUAGUUCAAGGUCAACAAGGAAAACAAAAACACAGAGAGAAAAUCUGUGCAUUGUAUGGAUGCAUCACCUGCCCAUUUAAAAACCCUCUUCUAUACACAUGCACCCAAAUAUGUACACCACACACACACACCACUUACAAUAAUAGAUAAUAAAUAUAAAAGACCCAGUCUCAAAAGGGGGGAUCUGGUUAUAAAUAUGUUUUCUCUGGAGUGGGAGCCAUCACUUUCUUUGCUAUAUUUUACAAAAUUUAAUUAUUUUAUAAGAUAUAUAAGGUAGAAAGAUAAAGUGUUGACAUCUUUGAGAAUUUUUUUUAAAUGCCCAGGAGAAAGAAUUGAAUAAGAAUAAGAAAUCAGUCAGACCUGGCUGAGCACGCCGUUAAUCCCAGCAUUCGGGAGGCAGAGGCAGGCGGAUAUCUAAGUUGGAGAUCCCUGGUCUACACAGCAAGUUCCAGGAUAGCCAGGGCUACACUGAAAUACCUUAUUUCAAAAAACAAGAAACAAAAAAACCAAAAGAAAAAAAAAAGAAAGAAAAGAAAAAGGGGUUGGAGAUUUAGCUCAGUGGUAGAGCGCUUGCCUAGCAAGCACAAGGCCCUGGGUUCGGUCCUCAGCUCUGGAAAAAGAAAAAACAAAAAAAAAAAAAAAAAAAAACAAAAGAAAGGAAAGAAAACAGGAACCAGCUCACUGAACAUACAGAAAAGACCACUUUACAUAUAAUUUCAGAAUUGAACUUGCUGUACAAAUAAGAAAACAGACAAAAUGUAAAAUCCCAGUGCGGCAGGAAAACUGCUAAAAGUCAAAGACAAGCCACAGAUCAGGGAGAAGAUCUGUAAAUCAGUCAGUCCAUACAAAAUGUGUAUGGAGAACAGGUGAAGAAACCAUAAGCUAAGCUCAGCAGAGUAGGUAGGUGGUCCACCUCUGCAGCCCAGCAGGAGCAAGGUGGGUUUGUAAUCAACCUGCGCUCCCUACCAAGACUCUUUCUCAAAACAAUAAAAAAGUAAAAAAUUAAAAUUUAGCUCAGCAAGGAAGACAAGGGAACUGUAAGCCGGGAAAAGGAAGGGAAGUGACAUUUCUCCCAAGCCGUCAUUUGCAUGUGAACAGAUGCUCCUCCGUUAGUCAGGAAGCUCGAGUCUACAAAGCUCCAAGCAGCGCUGCCUCAUACCCAGCAGAUGACGAAACCAGGGCAGGAAAGGAACUAAAACCCUCAUAAACUGCUGGUGGGGACGUAAAUCGGGGCAGCCACUCUAGAAAGCACUUGGCAGUUCUUCAUGGAGUCACCAUGUGAGCAAGCAAUUCUACUGUGAGGUAUCUAUACAAGGGAAAUAAGAACAUACAACUCCCCAAAAAACUGUAUGUGAAUACUUAUAAUAGCAUCACUCCUAAGAGUAAAAACACGACAACACGCAAUCCAUACAGAUAAACAAAAUGCAGCAUGUCUAUCUAUCCAGAGGACUACUACUCUGCUAUGAAAAGAAAUGAAAUUCCAGAAAAGGCUGGGUGGAUCAACCUUGAAAAAACUUUACUCCCUGAAAAAGGCCAGAUAAAAAAGGCUAAGUAACAUAAACUCCAUUUAUAUGAAAAAACCGAAGAGGCAAAUCUAUGGAGUUGACAGGUCACUCCUUGAGACUGGGGGUAGAGCUGAGGAGAUGAACAGUGACCUCUGAGAAGAAUACAGUGUCCUAAAUGUGUAGUGGUGACGGCUGCACAACUGUCAAUACGCUUAACAUUUAAACUGGAGGAGCUAUCCUGUGCCUGAACUAUAUGAAAAGGAGCGGAUAUCAAAGCCUGCUGCUGCCCAAAGUCAAGGCGCUGCCCGCGAGCAGAGCGCCAAGUGGAGCUGAAGCAUCCUCAACUCCACCAGCAUUGUUUACUGCUGCAGGGGACGUUAGGCCAUCUGACAGGCUAAAGGGGGACCCUCAAGGAGCUGGGAAAACAGAACAAUGACACUGGGUAAGAAAGGAAAUUUAGAGGAUACAACUGGAACAAGUAUGUUUUCAAAUUGGAGUGGAGGGGAAUGCACAACCUCCACCUGGGAGGCAGAGACAGGAGGAUCUCUAUGAGUUAGAGGCUACAGAGUGAGUUCCAGGACAGCCAGGGCUACACACACAGAGACCCUGUCUCAGAAAGAGGGAGAUGGGGAGGGGGAGAGAUUGAUUGAUUCUAGGGUUGGCAAGAUGACUCAGUGGGUAAAAGGGCUUGAAGCUAACCCAAAGGACCUGAGUUUGAGAGCCUCAUGGUGGAAGAAGAGAACCAACUCCUAAUAGCUGCCCUCUGACCUCCAUGCUUAUGCCAAAGGCCAUGAGCAACACCACACACACAAACACACACACACACACAAAUGUUUUUAUAUAAAAAAAAGAAUAUAGUAUGUCUUCAAAAAUGGAUUUGUGGUCUUGAGCAUUAAGAAGCAUUGACUGGGGCUGGGAAGAUGGCUCAGCGAUUUAGAGCACUGACUGCUCUUCUGAAGGUCCUGAGUUCAAAUCCCAGCAACCACAUGGUGGCUCACAACCAUCUGCAAUGGGAUCCGAUGUCCUCUUCUGGUGUGUCUGAAGACAGUGACACUGUACUCACAUAUAUCAAAUAAAUCAUAGAAGAAAGAAGAAGAAGAGGAAGAGGAGGAGGAGGAGGAGGACGAAGCAGCAGCAGCAUUGACACAUGGCAGAGAUGGUGGCUUGGUCUGCCCCUCCCCUUCCCCUGAUGGUACAAUCAGGGCCUGUAGCUGCUGACUCAAAAGGAAGUCAGUGAAGGCAGAGCCAGUGGGCUCAAACCACUGGCUCCUGUCUCCAUGUCAGGGGCUCAUGAGUAACAAGCUUCAAACAAGCUAUUUUCUUCCUCGGCAUUGUAAUAUUCUUUAAAGAGAUCCGAAAAUACCAUCUCAACAUUUAACUGCCUCCCAGAACAACUACAUUCACAGAAGCUAUUUAGGUACAAUAUGCAAAAGCCCCGAUCCUGCAGCUGACUGGCACACAAAGAUCAUGCCCAAAUACAACCACCCCACUGGGCCAGAGGAACAGUAGGGCUGUUGAGUCAGAACUUAGAAAGGAAGCCAAGAACAUACAAUCACUAAAAACAUUAUUUUGCGGGUUUAAAAAAAAAAGAGCUACUAAACCUCACGUAUUGUCAGAACACUGCUUAUGCAACAUGGGAACAUUUUGACAGAAGGGGAGGACAACAGGAGGCAGGAGGCAGAGACAGAAGUAAGGAAUCCUGCAGGUGCCGGAGCAAUCUAAGAAACACACAGCUCUGUUCUGCCUUCCUUCCACAAUACAAACAAUUCUGUUUCUUGUGGCAUCCGAAGAGGACUGCCUGCCAGAGACAGAAAACAAGUUGCUACACGAAAAUGUCAAUUUGUUCCAUGGAACACUACACUGGCAUGAACGGAUACAAACCUUUUCAUCUAGAGACAGAGGGGAGCUCUUUCCUUCCGAGUUUUUUUUUUUUUUUUUUUUUUUAACAUCGUGGCCCAUUAUCAAAUUCAGUUUGAUUCAUGCAAAUUCUAACAUAAAUGGACAAAAAUAUCACCCAAAAGUAUAUAGGAUCAUAAAAACUUCUGUAAAAUAUUUUGUCUUCAAGCUCCUUAGCAGCUUUAGAGUACUUACAAUUUUAAAUUAAUUCAAGUAAAAGCACAUGUAUGUAUAAAAAUGUUAUAAUGAAACCCAUUGUUUUGCAUGCUGAGUUGAUUUUUGAAGUUCAGUAAUUAUCUCAUAAAGACACAUCCGUGAAGACAUCCUCUAAAGGCGCUCACUAGUUUACAACUUCACCUACCUCAGAUGUGCUUAUAGGCCAUCUCAGGCAAAGCACAAUAUGCAGCUGCCACCAUGCACCCCCCACCGACCGCUCAGCCUCCCCAUCCUCCACCCCCAUCAUCAGCUACGUACACUUGGGGACUUUGCUGACACUGCUGCCGUCUGCACCUUUCCAGUGCUGGGGUGGAACCCACGGGCUCACACAUGACAGACACACACACUACCACCGAGUCACACACCUGUCCCUAGGUUUUUGUUUGUUUUCAUGCCUAUUUGUACUAAUUGUGAUGUGAUUUAAUUAAAUACCAGGUAAAAUGAUAAAAAUUAGGGGGGGGUAUGAGAAUGCUUUGGUAAAAACUAAGCUUUCAACUUGAAACAAAUUCAGUAAAGUUUUUAAAGUAAAGUCAAAUUACAUAUGGGUGAGAUGUGAGCAAGAAAUUGGAAGGAGGGAGGGCGGGCGGGCACAUAAAAGUCAUGGGCUUAACUUACACCACUUUAUCAAUGCCUGAGUUCCUGUUUUGUUUCAAAAACAAGGCAACCCUGGAAUUCAUAAUGAACUAUAGUGUACUUAAAGAAAAAUGAAGGAAACCAACCAGGGCAAAGAAAAAGCCCCUGGCCCUACAUCCAAAUAUUAGUCAAUGUCCUUCUUUAACCUACUGCAAGGGAAAAAGGAGGCAGGGAAACCCACAGCAGGGUUUAAAGAGUACCUGGGCUGGGAAGAUGUCUCAGUGGUGAUUAGGACAAGAGUUCGGAUCCCAACACUGAAGUGGCUCACAAAUACCUGUGAGGGGGUCAGACACCUCACCGUAUUCUCCACAGAUAUACAAAUCGUGUGUGUGUGUGUGUGUGUUUUGAGACAGGGUUUCUCUGUGUAGCCCUGGCUGUCCUGGAACUCACUCUGUAGACCAGGCUGGCCUUGAACUCAGAAAUCUGCCUGCCUCUGCCUCCCGAGUGCUGGGAUUAACGCAUGCGCCACCACGCCCGGCUAAAAUAAGUAUUUUUAAGCCUCUCUUUUUUAAGUUAAGUGAUCCCAGGAGCUGAAUGCAGCUCAGUGGUAGAGCACUUGCCUGGCGUGCACUUUCAGGCUUUGGACUUGGUCCCCAACACUACGCACACAUUGGGGAAGAGGAAGCACCUCAAUGAUAAUGUAUGGAUUUUGUUCAGGCCGAAAAUUCAAAACAAGUGAGUAAUAAAAACAAUAAAAAUAAUCCAUAAACCAAAGCUGGCCACUGUGGCCCACAUCUGUAGAUAAAGGCAGGAGCUUGGGUCUGAGGUCAGUUUAGACUACAUAAUGAGACCUUGUCUCAAAAGUAAAUAAAUAGGGGCUGGUGAGAUGGCUCAGUGGGUAAGAGUACCCGACUGCUCUUCCAAAGGUCCAGAGUUCAAAUCCCAGCAGCCACAUGGUGGCUCACAACCAUCCUUAAGGAGAUCUGACUCCCUCUUCUGGAGUGUCUGAAGACAGCUACAAUGUACUUACAUAUAAUAAAUAAAUAAAUCUUUAAAAAAAAGUAAAUAAAUAAGUAACAAAGAAGAACAAAAGAGGUUCAGGUGGUCAACAAAGAGCCUACCUCUGUGAUGGGGACUCUGUCUCCUUCAACAGUCUCCUGUCCUUCAUGCCCGCGGGAGAGGUGAGAGGCCCAGGCAGAGGGUGAACCGAUAGCAGUCAUGGGGGGUUAGAUCCACAAAUCUAGCUCAGGGAAAGGCCUCUGAAAAGCUAGAAAAGGGCGAGCAACCCCUCUUCCGAACAGGAGUCCCCCAUGCCAACGCAGGCAGCGGGACCCGGUCAGCCAGCCAGCCAGCCAGCCAGAGCUGCCCGCUGCUGGAGGCCUGCUCACCCACUGCUGCCAAGGCUAACCCUGGUGCAAUCGUUCUGGAAAGCAAUGUGGCAAUAUAAGUAUCCGGUGUCUCUCAAACAUGUGUGCCCUCUGGCUCAGUAAUUUCACUUUUAACAAUCUAUCUAAAGAAAAAAAAAUAUUCUAAAGAUUCAGGUGCCAACGCAAUUGCCACAUUUAAAAAAAAAUUAAAAUUAUGAAAUAAAAAACUGUGGAAAAUCCUCAAAACAAACAAACAAAACAGCAGUAGUCAUGCCCCUGAGGUACAUGCGCACUGAAGCUGACGCUUAUGAAUGGCUCCCGCUGACAGUACAAAGAGGGGCAGGAGGCAGAAACAGCACUUGUAACAGGACCCUAACUAGUUUUCAAUGCCUAGGCUGGCAAGAGGGUUUUACAGUAUCAAUAACUACCGACUCUGGGUGGCAGAAUUAUGGAUGACAUUUUCCCGUCUGCUUCUUCAUAAUUUCCUGGUUUUUCCCAGAGUUGUUUCAGGAGCACAAUGUUAUUUUUGUGAGAAGAAAAGGGGAAGGUGGUAGGAGAGAGGCAGUGAAAACAGACUGUGUGCUGAGGUCAAGGAGCAUACUGCAAUGAACUCGGCUGCUCAUCCGUCCUCUGGUCCUCUGUCCGUCUUGAAAACAGAGGGGACACCUAUUCAAAUGCUCCUUUAACUUCACCGUUUGUCUACCCUGAGAAUAAUAAUACCUCACUCCUUGUACCAAUAGCUGCUACUUUUUCCAUAUACAUGGCACAAGGAAUACUAGUUGAAUUCAUUCAUAAACAGUUAAGACCAAUUAAAGAACCGAAGAUCACAGCCAGUGAUGGAAAACUGAGGGGUUCUGUCUUGUUUUGUCUUUUCAGUUGGAUCACGUAAGUUACAAAGCAAAGAACAAGCAUUCUGAAGUUCUUUCAGGAAGAGACCACAGCUUGACAGAGAGAAGCACCUCACAGCAGAAGAGGAAAGCUGGGGUGCUGGAUGACCGCACUGACCAUAUCUGGGGUGUAAACUAAGGUAAGUAAACCCCAGAAAGGCUGGGGUUUGAAGGAGCGUCCCCCCAUUUAAAGCAAGAGGUUCAGGGGGCUGGGGAUGUUGCCCUGUGGUAGUGCUUGCCAAGUGUUCGCCAGACCCUGGGUCUGAGCCCUAACCUAGCAUUACAUAUAACCUACAUAUAACCUACAUAUAACCUAGACAAGGGGUUCCUCCUGGAAGGGUGAUACAUGUUAGAGCCCCAGCUAUCAGGAGGAUGGACGGAGGGGAUCACAUGGACCUGUUAAGUUCAAGGGCAGUCUGGCACAUGAAUACAUGAGGGCCAGAGACCUGGCUGAACAAGUGAGGGCUUGUUGGGCUCGCCAACCUGCACCCCAGCCCAGCCCAGCCCAGGCCCAGGAUCACAGGGUAGGAGAGACCUCCCGGAAGGCAUUCUCUGACUUCCAUUACACAGUGAGACAUGAGCAGGCACACACACACACACACACACACACACACACACACACACACCAUAAAUGUAAUUUAUAACCCCCCAAAAUGAAAAUAUAACAAACCCCAAUUUUUAUCUUUUUCCACAUAUUUUUUAAGAUCCAUUUUUUAAAAUUAUUUUUAUUUAUACGAAUGGGGUGGGGAGCACAUAGUGUGCAGGUGCCCACAGAGGCCAGAGAUGACAGAGGCCCCUGGAGCCAGAGAUACAGAUGGUUGCAAGGUAUCUGACUGAGUGCUGAGAACUGAACUCAGGUCCUCUGUAAGAGCAGCAUCAGCUUGUCUAACCAUGGAGCCAUGGCUACAGUCCUCCACAAACGCCACCACUCAGUGCAUAUUUAAAUCAUACUAAAUACUAGGUACAUAAUCGUAUUAAAUUCUUAAACUGUGCCAUCCUAUCAAACAAUAAAAGAUAGCCAGUUGUCUUUUUUUUUUAAUUUUAAAAACAAUGGUUUUCCAGGAAAUAAACAGCCCUUAAACUGAUCCAAGAAAUUGUCACAAAUGUUUAUGAAACACAGCUAAGAAAUGCAGAGGAGCCAACAAGAUGGCUCAGCAAGUGAAGGCCCCUGAUGCCAGACCUGCUGACCCCAUUUCCAGCCCCCACGGUAGGGAGGAGUCCACUCCCACAAGUUGUGUGUAUGUGUGUGGGGGUGCGUGUGUGUACAGAUGUGUGCACCCAUGUAUGCACGAGGGGAGACCAGACAUCAAUAACGGGUGUCUUCUAUCAUUCCCCAACUUCAUUUUUAUGUUUAAUAUUUUCUUUCAUUGUUUGUACUCAUGCAUGUGUACCCGUGUGAACACACUGCACAAGUGUGAAGGUGCCUGUGGAAGCCACCUGGUGGGAAUGCUGGGAACCAAAUCCAGGUCCUCUAGAAGAGCAGGAAGCAUUCUUAACCACUGAGCCAUCUCUCCAGCCCCUCCAGCCCACUCUUUAUAGACAGGGUUUCUCACAGAACCUGGAGCGAUCAGUCCAGGCUGCCUAGUUCCUGAGCCCCACCUCUGCUCCCGGCACGACAGCGCCAUGCUCCGGGAGCUCCAGAUACAGAUUCAGUCCUCACACUUACACGGCGAGGACUUGAUGCACAAAGCCAUCUCAGCCAGGCCCUGUACCUAUUUUCAAAUGUUUGCUAGGCUGCUGGUCCUGGGUGCUAUAGGAAGGCAGGCUGACCGGCAUGGUAGCAAAUGCCUUUGAUAUCAGCAUCCUGGAAGCAGAGGCAGGCAGAUCUCUGUGAGGCCAGCCUGGUCUAUACAGUAGGUUAAAGACAGUCAGACCCACAUACUCUCUCUAUGUAACGCCUUUGGUUCAGUCCCCACCACCCAUAAACUAGCUAUGGUGGCCACAUCUAUAAUCACUGUAAGCAGGAGGCAGAGCAAGAGGAUCACGACAAGUCCAGGCCAGCCUGGCGUUGUAGUGAAUGUGUGUAUGCAGCUGUCACCUGAGAGCUGAGGACAGAGAUGCAGAGCGUGUAUAGAUGGCCCUCAAACCAGAAAUUAGAGCCAGAUUGCGAAGAAAUCUGGAUAAAGAGUUGUCAGCACCACCUGUACCCAGGGUGUGUUUCUGCCUGAGCUGGUCGUAGGGACACAGCUACGUAAUGAGAACAUACUGCUCAAAAAAAAAAAAAAGGAAGGGAGGGGAGGGGAGGGGAGGGGAGGGGAGGGGAGGGGAGGGGAGGGGAGGGGAGGGGAGGGAAGGGGAGGGGAGAGAGAAAAGGUAAAGGGAACAUGGGAACCUAGACGUGCACAUUUGCAGGGAGCUGUAAGAAAGGACACACUGCUGGCGAGCUGGUGUUAGAGCUGAAACUGGGCAGAACUGCUUAAUCAAAACCUAAAUUUAACUUUAGCCAAAAUUCCCCAUCUGAGUAAGCCCUGCCCACAAAGACCAAUCUAAAGAGGCAAUGGGGUCUCUUCUCCUUCCUAUUGAUUCUCUGAGAGAUGUAAGUGACGUGUGCUCACAAUCUGAUUCCUUUUUUUAAAAAAAAAAAAAAAA